GGCGGAACCUCCAAGCUUUAUUGAGAGACCUCACUUAUGGCGGAGGAAAACCGUGGUAACAACUAGACACUUACACAAAGAAAAACAAAACAAUAUCCCAAGUAUCAAAACAAACAAAAGACAAUAAAGCAAACACAAAAGAACAAACUAAACAAGUCUUAAUAUAAACAAUACCCAUUUUAUCUAACCUAAUCAAACUUUUUAUAAGCCUAGGGAGAUGUUCCACAUUGGUAAAUAAGAAGCUGGUUUAACUAGCACAACUACGAGCCAAAGCAUCAGCCUCCUUUUGGCUCUAAAAAUAUGAUGAAUAGAAUAAUCCUUAACAUCCAAUAACCCCUUAAGUGGUCCCUAGAAGUCCCAAAGAUACCAAAGCUUGCAAGAACGAGACCGAAUCCAGCUAACAACAAUAUUAGAAUCACAUUCAAUGCCAAUACCAUCAUAACCCAAUUGCUUACACACAAGUAAGCCUUCAAGAAUAGCGCAUAAACUCAGCUUCAUUAUUUGAGCAACUGCCAAAAAAAUUGAAAAGCCAAAAAUGAAGUUGCUUGAACCAUGACGAAGUAAACCACCUCCACCAGCAUUUCCACGAUUUCCAAGACUACUCCCAUCAAAAUUAAGCUUAAAUCUUCCAUGCACCGGUUUAAGCCAUCUUGCCUGACGUUGCCCUCGCUGCAUCAGAUAACAAUAAGAUAAGCUGAUAAGUAGUAGUAGAAAGAAGACAGUGAAGUGUAAAAAUUUCCCUUUAUUUUCCACCAAUUUUAGGGUCACUACACUAAAUGGUACUAAAAGAUAUCAAAUAGAGGCAGGCAUUCGAUAAACCUUGUUUGAAAGGAAAGAAGGUACUCUUAAGCAUGGAAGGAAAAAGAAAAAGAACAAUAUGGUAUUUAAAGAGCACAAAAACAUAUACUUGCUGUUACACGUAAAUAAAUAAAAGCUACCAUUUUCCCAAAAUCUGUAGUAGGAUACAAUACAUGUAUGAUGUAUCAAACAACUAAGAGAUGAGAAAACGAUCCUUCUAAUACCACUAGAUUACCUCAUGGAAGGACGUAGCUCAAUCUCAAUCAAAUUAUACAAUUACUUGCUGGAGACAUAAACGCUAUAACCUCACUUUUUAGAGCAGCAGUUUUUGACUUUUUGUACCUCGUUGUGCUUAACAACAUCAGAAACACAUCGCUUGUAGUGGUCUUAAAAAUUCCAAUGUGUAAACUAUAUUGACAAAAUUGGAAAAACAUUGUAUCCACUGAAUGGCCUCCCAAGUAAAUAAUCAGCUAUUGACAAUAUUUCAUGUCAACUAAAUCAAAAUUUCAAAUCAGCUCCUGUUCAAAGUUGAUCUCAGAUCCCUCGGCAGGACCAGCUAGCUUCACCAAGCCAAUUAACCUUAACAUAGCUGAAAAUAGAAAACCAGAUACCAAGAAUCACAAAUUCCAUUCUGCGCUCAAUGAGUCCAACAAUAUUAUAUUGAACUAAUAGCACCCAAUUACACUUUCGGAAUGAACAAACUACCUAUGAUGAAGAAACAACCACAGGUUGUUGCUGAUAUACUGAGAUAUUAAAAAUAAAAUUCCACAUAUGACUAUGCUCAUUUUCCAGAGACGUAGCUUUAUAUUGAACUAUUUAUAAUGAUGUUGCAUACCGGAUACAUGUAUUUCAUUUCUUCUUCUGAUCUUAAGGAUGAAAAACAACACUCUUAGCUUAAAUUUGAUCAAAGAUUGUUUCCCACACGUGUGUGUAUUGCUUUUGAAAAUUGCUCACUUUUUGCAGAUUUGGUAACAUAAAUAUUGCAUCAAUUUCCGUUGAGAAGCCUCUCGAGUAAAUAAUCAGUUACUGAGAAUGUUUCAUGUCAUGUAAACCAAAAUUUCCCUUCAGAUCUUGUUCAAAGUUGAUUGCAAAUUCAUGGGUACAUGUAUCUUCUCCAGGCAAUAUAACCAUAACAGGUCUGAAAAAUAGAAACCAGAUAUCAAGAAUCAUAAAUUCCAUUAUGACCUCAAUAAGCUGAACAUUAGUACAUUGAACUAACUACAGCCAAUUGCAAUUUCUGAAUUUAUGUAAUAUGAAGAAACAAGCACCUGGUAUACUGAGAAAUUUCAAAAUAAAAAUGCCACAAAUUAAUAAUGCUUGUGUUUCACACAGUUUGCUUUAUAUAGAAAUAUUUAAUUAUGACACAUAAGGAAUACCUGUGUUUUAUAUUUCUUCUUCCAAUCUUGAGAAUAGUAAGCAUUAAGCAACCUUUUGCCCUGUAUUUCCUUUGAAAAUCUGCUCAUUUCCUUGAGAUUCAGUAACAUAUAUACUAAAUCAGUUUCCAUAAAAUAUAUAAUUUUAUUCAGAAGGUCAUCAUAUACACAAGAAGUAUAAUAAAAAUUCAAGCAAGAAGUUUCAGUGCCAAUUGCCUAAAUAUUUGGCAUAAUGUGAUCCAUAUAGCCAGCCUCACUUAGUGGGGUAAGGCUUUUAUAAUCACCAAUCAAGCUACAAAUCAUGGAAUCAUUGAGUGCAAUGACAAAGUUAAACUGUAGAAAGAAAAAAAAUGUGAAAUGAAACAUGUGGUUGACUAAACUUUAUGAAUAAUUUUUCUUUUACAAUGGUAAAGAAAAGUGUGCGCGAAAAUAGCUUUCGUUGUAGAGGAGAUAAUGAAGAAAAGUGGGUUAGUGCAGAACAAAUUACGUGUUGAUAAUCAGGGUGGGCCAAAUUUGAGGGUGCUUCACGCGGCACUGUUCUCCCAGCAAAGGGCAUUCAGAGAUGUCAAGUUCAGUUAGAGAUGUAGGAAGCUUUGCUUCCGCCAUGUUCUCCAGCUUUGGACAUUUCUCAAUUGUUAACUGUUUGAGGGAGGUGAGGUGGAGAAGCCCUUUGCAAUCCAACGUCUCCAGACUUGAGAAAUCAUAUAGUAAUAGUGACUUCAGGGAGGAAGGCAGCAACCCCUCUUUUGGGAUGGACUUUAUCCCAUCACAUGGACCGUAUAUCUGGAGGUAGGUAAGCUUGUCCAUGGAUGGCCAUGCUAGGCAGCUCAGCAGUUUCGUGCUAUUCCUGAUCACAAUUGUUGUCAAGCUAGGCGGCAAACCUUCUUCAGGAAACGACUUAAUUCUUGGACAGUAAGCUAUCGAAAGAAGUACCAAGUUUGGGAGAAGAGUAUUCAUCCGAGGAGGCAAUGACUCUACCUUGUCGCACCCGGAAACCCUGAAGCCAGUCAUUCUGGGCGCAGCCAAUCCUUCUCUUGCCAAUGAUACUAAAUUGGGGCAUUUGGAGAUAUGAAGAUCUCUCAGAUUUUGAAGAGUAAAAUCCCGUGAGUGUGACACUGAAAUAGAUUCCAGAUUUACACAGUCUGAGAUGUAUAGUUUUUUGAGAUUUGGAAAAGCCUCCAGUGGGAGAGACAUGAGCGAAUCACAGCUGCUCUGUAUUUGCAGUAUCUCUAGUAACUCGAGUGUCUGUUGCUGCUGCUGAGGGAAUUCUAGUUCUCUACAUCUCUCAAUUUCCAGAGUCAUCAGUGAUGCAGGUAAGCAAUCCCCCAGAAAUGACAUCAUAGACGAGCAAUCUUUCAAUGUCAAAUGUUUUAGGAGAGGAAAAUCUUGCAAUACUACUUUAUUGACAUCAUUUAUAACUAGUAGGCGCAUGGAGGGAGCCAUUGGGAGAGAACAAGUAAGUUGCUCGCACUUUUGAAUAUCAAGUUCUUCUAGAGCAGGGAGGUGACUCGGCAAAUCUCCCCUCAAUUUUGGACAAUGUUGUACUCUUAGACGCUUAAGCUGAGGAAAAGCAUGUGGCUCAAAACAACUCCACACCUCCCAACAAGGCAUCCUUAUAAAUUCAAGAGAUUCAAGUGAGGGAAAAGGUCUCCAACGUAUUAAAAUCUGAAAUUGCCAGGUCCUUGAGAGAUGGGAGGUGUCCAAGUGAAGGGAGAGUAAUACAAUUAUUGCAACCAGACAACCUUAUCCUAGUCAUAUUGUGGUAACAAGACAUUCCAAUCCAAUCAGGGUAUCUGGUACCUCCGUAGCCUUUUACCUCCAGGGACUCAAGGUCUUGGUGAGGCUCUAACUUGCAAAGUAUAUCAACUUCGGUUUGGGAAUCGAUACAACCCUUAUCGGAAGGCCAGUCCAGUACUAAAUGCUGAAUGUGCUUCUUAUCCAUCAUCCUUGCCUCCAACGCUUCACUACCAUUCUCAACAUUCUCCAAUUGGUAAAUUGUAAACUGCCCACCAAGAUUUGAAAGCCCUCCCAGCUCAUUGAUCUUGAUCUUUUCAUGCUUGCCCACAAUGAAGUAAGGCAAAUGUCGCAACUGCUUUAAUUUGCUCAUUUCUUUGGGCAUCUCCUUUAUACAUGUUCUAGAAAUACCAAGAUAGUGCAAGUUUACAAGUUUUUGCAUGCCACAAGGUAGCAUAGUAAGCGCACCACAAUCCUCUAGCUUCAACGUUUGCAGAUUAUACAAAUUACACAAUGACUCUGGUAAUGACUCUAUUUCUGCCCCGGAGAGAUCCAAAUAACGCAAAUGGAUCAUUCCACCUAUAGAAUCAGGCAAUGCAAAGAGAUUUCCAAAGGAACGAAAUGAUAAAACUCUCAAGUACUCAAAACUCAACACCUCAGUACAUAGUACCUCGUCAUUCUCGGAUACAGAUUUUUUAUCGUUAAUCCUAAAAAAUGUUCUUAGGAAUUUAGCAUUACCUAAGACCCCAAAGUUUUCUGAGUUGGGACUACUGAAAUUGUCGAAUGACAAAUGACGAGUUUUGCUACCAAUAGUAUUUUCAUCCCCAAGAUCAUCUGAUCUAAAGUAGAAUUCCCCGCCAAGAAAUGUUGCCAAAUCAUGCAUGAGAUCAUGCAUCCCAAAAUACUCCUCCUUCCCCUUCCCCGGAGUACUUGAGCGUUGAAAAAAUGAGCUUGAAACUAAAUAAUCAAAAAAAACAUCACCAACUUCUUCUAGAGUCUUGCCCUUUUUCGGUGGUGGUAAAAGAUCUUCAGCCAUCCACAACUGGAUCACAUCACUUUUCAUAAAUUCAUAAUCUUUUGGGUAUAAUGAACAGUAAACAAAGCAGCGUUUCAAGUAAGGAGGGAGAUAAUGAUAGCUAAUUCUCAAUGAUGGAAUAAUCUUACUUUCAGAUAAUUCCCAAAUGUCACAAUUCAGCACAUUAUUCCAAUCCUUAAUAUCACGCUUUCUUCCCAAUAAACCUCCAAGUGAUUGUGCAGCUAAAGGCAAUCCCUUACACUUCUUAACAAUCUCCAAGCCAAUUUUCUCUAGAUCUGUUGUAUUCUCACCUGAUCCUGGGGAAAGACAAGCAUGGUUUGCAAAUACUAACCAACAACAUUCAUUUGAUAGUUGGCUUAAAUUGUAAGUUUGAACAGUUUGGACUACAGAUGCAACCUUUUCACUACGGGUUGUUACAAGAAUUUUACUUCCCCUCAUCCCAUAUCGCAAAGGUUUUCUAAGAAGAUUCCAACUAUCAUAAUCUUCGAUCCAAACAUCAUCCAAAAUAAUUAAGAAUUUUUUUUCCUUCAGCUUUUCAACCAAUUUUUCUUGAAGUGAGUUUAGAUCAUUGAUUUGACAAGCUUGUUGAGUAAGUGCCUCUGUUAAAGUUUUUGUAACUCCCAUGAUAUCAAAUGCUUCAGAAACACAAACCCAUCCUUUUAAAUCAAAAUUUUGCUUCAAACUGUCAUCACUGUAUAUCAUUUGGGCUAGAGUGGUCUUUCCGACACCACCCAUGCCCACAAUAGAGAUCACAGAUACAUCUUCACCUUCAUUAUUAUCAUCUAACAAUAACUUGAUUAUAGCCUCCUUGUCUUCAUCCCUCCCAUAUAUAUUUCUAUCUGGCACAGAUGUUGAGGGAACUCUGGAUGAGGAAUUAUCCAUUGCAAUCUCUUUGAGAUCAAGACUCUCUUUUAGUUUUAAGAUAUGCUCUAGCUUGUCAACUAUUUCUUCCAACCUAGUAGCUAUCUUCCUCCGAUCUUGUGUAUUGAAAGGGCGAUAUCUUGAAGCCAUCUUCUGAUGUUGUGAAUUGAAAAGGCGAGAGAACAAGUUAGGAGUUACCUUUUUUAGAGUUGCAGCUGCAGCAGCAGCAGCAGCAGCUUUGGUACAAACAUGAUCCAUCAAGUCAUCAGCCAUGUAGACAACAUGUUUGAGUUCAUCGAGCCAGUCUUUGACAUCAGAGUCACUGAUCUGUUUCUUCUCAGCAUCAUUGAGCACAGCUUUGACCACUGUGAGAGUUGUCUUCAUCCUGUCAAGUAAAGGGCCAAGCUUCUUGCCUCGGAUGAAGUUGACAACCUCAGGUGAAGCAAGCUUGUCGAAAACAACAUUAAGGAAUGCACCGAGGAAAGCUCCUCCCACCAAUAUUGCUGCCAUGAUCACAAGAACAAGUGACUAGAUUACAAUUCAGACAAGAGUCAACAAAAGGAACAGAGUUGCUUGCACCUUGCAGUAUGUACUCUGAACUCACAAGUCAUGUGUUUAAUAUGUGCUCUAUUUUUAUUAUACUAGUGUUUUUUACUCGCGCGUUGCACGGGAAAUUUGUCUACACAUAGUUUGCGAGACAAGUUGGGUGGUUACAGUUCUCUUUUUCCCCAGAAGAUGAUGCUUCCUUCCCAUUUCUUCAUUUUCAUUUUCAUAAUUGAAUGCUUCUUGGUCCCACAUGGCACUAUGAGGCAUUAUUUAGACUACUUUAUAUCUACAUAUUUUGAUUUUGACUUUUGCAGUUCUCAAAGUAAAUUGAAACAUAUGCAACUUUGAUCUAUUAAAUUUAAGGUUAAAUUAAUUUAUGGAUCCCUAUGCUUUCAUGUACUUUUAAAUUAGAUCCCUAUAUUCUAUAACUUUCUAAAAUGAGUGUUUAAAACAGUUUUAUAGAAACAAUUUUUAAAAUAUAUUUUUCAAAGGAAAGUUGAGGAAGCUCAUGAGUCAUGAACUGAAGGGAGAAAAGAAACUGACCAGUGGAGACGAUCUUGCACUGUGAAAUCGUCGAGGAAAAGAAGCACCAAACCAACAAAAACGACGCCGUGCAAGAUCGGAGGAAGGGGUUUGGUUCGGAAUGCAGAAACAAGACUUGCCUGGUCAUAGAAAACAGGGUUUGGUUUGCCAUAUGGUCAUAUGGUCAAACAAACCCAAAUUCCUUUGAUAAUUAAAAAAUGUAACUAAUUAACAACUUAAAAAAUAUGAUAAAAUAUUAUAAAUAUUUUUUAUAUUUUUUGUGAGCACGAGGUAUCCACUAUCUCGAUAGCAAUAAUUAAUCAUUUCGUCCCAGUGAGAAACAACUGGCUACAAUAUGCGAUGCGCUGUAUUCUAAAGUGGAAGAGACAUUCACUUAAGAUUUUUUUCCUCACUAUAUCUCAAUCUCUUACAAAUGGACAUGAGCCUCCAAAUUCGAUCAUCAUCAUAUGUAUGAUCAAUCUGAAAUGGAUAUCAUGUGUACUUUCAGGCAGCAGGAGAAUUGAAGUCAUAAAGAAAUUUCACUAAAGAGCUGACUUUGUUGUUGGCAAUAUGGUAUGCUUGUCAACUAGUAAUAUUUAUCUUCUUUCUUUAGCUAGGCAAGGAUUUGAGAUCUUUUCCAUUUUAUUUAUCCCUUUUCAGGCUCAGGGUUCAAAAGGUUAUUACUAAUUAGGAUUAAAAUAACUCUGUUUGCUGCAUGGACAUUUGUGAUAGUGCUGGAAAUGAUGCUCUGCUGAACUUAAUCAUAGUAUGUUUCCUACUCCCACUGUUUCUCUAAAACCACCUUUCGCUGUUAGCGCUUGACCUAUUGCUGAACUCUUCUAGUGCCGUCCUGAAAAUGCCUUUCAGGUUCACACACUCUUGAGCCAUCUGCAUUUCUUUUUAAUUAUUUUUUAUUGUCAGUUCUAAUAACUAUAAGAGCUUUUAUUGUAAUAUUAAUGUGAUCAGAUAUUGAUCAAUUUCAUCUCUCAAUAGGUGGCUUUGGCUGGACCAUCAUUUACACUAUUCAUUGCAAGUUGGAUCAAUUUCAUCUUCAAAAUAUCUAAGAAAAAAGGUUAAAUGUAAGUUGUAUUUAUUGCACCAUUAUCAUUGCUAUGGAUAUGUAUUGGAAAUGUACUGUAAAUGUAUUUAUCAGAAUUUAAUUACUGAAUAACCCCUACUAAUUUAGUUAAUAGCUUAGUACUCCUUUUAAAAAUAUAUAUAUACCCAAUCCCCUUUCACGUUCAUCCAUCGCUGGCAGCAACAGGAAUGCAAAUCGACGUGGUGCGGUGGUGGAUCUCGGCAAGCCGCUUCUCCAACCAGUAUGCCAAAGCUGAUUGUGCCUUUGUUGAGUGUUGUAGUGCAUAAUUUCAUUUCGUAUACUCUAUGUUUAUGUGGAAAUUUCUCUUGCAACCAUUUAAAAGUGGGAGGUUUCAUACGUUUUAGGCUUAAUUUGCCAUAAUUUAGUCCUUAGAAUUCUAAAUAAUGAGCUGAAGGGUUCAAACCAAACCCUUCCAUUUUGAAUGAGUACCGGAACAAGACCCUAUUUAUUUUAUAAAAUUUUCAAAAAGAAAUUACUUUUGAUUUAUUUUUGGACGUCUAAUAUUGUUCGACGAGGGUCCAUAAUAUGCUCAUUUAUAUGAUUUGGGUCAUUGAUAUUCUAAAUGAGUGAAUUUGGUUACGUAAGUAAAUUGAGUCCUUCCGUCUGAGUUUCGUCCAAUUAUUUAUUAUGUCCCUCUAAGAUAGCUCAAGUGGUAGGAGUCGUAGGACAUAUGAGUUGGGUAGGGGGAGGUCAAGGGAUCGAUUUCUAACCGUUGUAAUUUAUCUUUCCGAUAUACCUAGGGGGAAGAUAAUUUACCGCUUAAUUAAUACAGAUUUAGCUACUAUUAGGCGUGUUAGCCGCGAAGAUCUCAUUAUGUAAAUUUGUGUCUCACAACGAAAGCAUUCCCUCUCUAACCUCCAUCACUAACCCCAUCUCUUAGUCAAAGGUUUUGUGACAGAUUGAUUCUCCGUCGCAAAAAACCAGUUUCACCUCCAAAACGAAAAGCUCACACCCUUAUAGGCAAAUAGGUUUCGUUUGUACCAAUUGAAUGGACAAUGGAAACCAGAAGCAACGAUUGUGAGAAUGGCAAUGCGUGUUCUUCUUCUGCAGUGAAACUCAGUGAUUGUAUUGAAGAGCUUGUCAAGUUCACUCUCUUCUCUCGCUCUCACCUCAACCUUCUCAAUCUCUCAACUCAAUUUUGUUCUACCCUUCUCAAAGAUGACCCUGAACCCUCACCCUCUUCACAUUCACACCCUCAAGGUACUUAAUCCUAUUUCUGCUAUUUUUAUCCUUGUGUGUGUUGUUUUGAGUUGAAAAAAUGUUUUUUUUUUACUUGGGUGUGUUCAAAUAAGCCAAUGUGCUCACUGCUCAGCUCAAAACAAGUGAAACAAUCAAUUUUCAUUAUAAAGUUUGAAUUUUUCUAUCUGGGGUUGGUUUAGAAUUUAGAUCCUAUGGCAAUACAAUGUAGAAGCAUAGUUUGACUGAUUUGCAGAUGGUUUGCAAGGAGUGCCGUCGUAUCCGUUGUACAAGCGUCUUGCUUUAGCUUUGUUGAGGUGUAUUGAUACUGGAACAUUUUGGAGUCCAGGCUAUAAUGUAGCCAUGGCUCAUGAAUUGGAGAGUUGUUCUCUGCAGCAGAAGUAUAAUGAGUGGCACAAAUUGAUUGUAGAGAAGGGGUCUGAAAUAGUUAAUGUAAAGUGUUAUGUUGACUGAUUCAAUUGUUUGCUUCUCUUUAUCUAUGAUUAAUCUGGUUUCAAUAUAAAUGAUAUAUUUUUUGUUUCGACAGAUUUUGAAGAGUGUUCGGUUGGAACUCCAUGUUCAAGAGCCUUUUCUUACACAUUUGAAAGGUAUUAAUCACUCUGUUGUGCAUCCGAAUAUGAUGAAGUUCGAUGUAGUGAGUCAAGCUAUAAAAUAUGCAUAUUUGAAUAAGCAGUGAUGCUGGGUUGAAAAGUUAUCUACUGACUCUAAGCAGUGUUUAAUUCAAAAGAGGGGAAGGGGAGGAGGAUUUAAUUAUAUAUUUUGUUUGACUACUGAUUAUUCAAUAGUUAAUCAAAUCAUAUGUAUGGAUCAUUGGCAUUUUGAGAUACUAACUAUUUUCCACGAUACUUCGAAUAUAUUGGCAAAAAACUGAAAAAGUGAAGAAAUAGAUUCAUUAUUCCAUUUCUAUUCCGACCAAUUCAAGACAGAUUGCAGUAGCAUUCAAGGGAUUUAUGUAAAUACUCAGAAUAGAAUGAUGUGAUAUUUAGGUUCCUUCAAUUCCCCUCCAAUCAAACACUAUAUAAAAGAGAGAAAAAAACUGCAUGCAAGUACCAUUGUUGUUGUCUUUGUACUGGGCAUUCUCAUUCCUAGUCAAAUUCAAUUCUACUAUGCUAUGUCUUAUGAAGUUAUUGCCUGCAGAUGGCCUGAAAACAAUUGAAGGGAGGUGUGCCCGUGGUAAACACAACAGGUUUCAAUAUAAUUUUAGUUAUUGUUUCAAAUACAUGGCUAGAUAUAAAUACCUGUUAUUUUAUCUUAAUUUUCUUGAUCAUUAUAAUAGGGUACCAUACUUAUUUUAGUUUUAAGAUAACCCUUUCAACAUUUGUUUUUUUUUUAUUGAUAAGCAUUUUCAUAUGUAGUUAAUGGUAGACCACCAAAUUCAGUGUUGUUUGUGAUAUGCAUAUUUCCAAUUCUGAGUCCUCUUCAAUUAAAGGAAAUAUAAAAGUAACUUCAGUAAUCGAUUGGAGGAAAACUCAACCAACUGAACAAACAAUUGCCUUAUUUGUUAAAAGUUUGAGACCUUCCAUGUCAAGAACAAAAUUCCAAUGGGCUUGUAGCUCAAUGGGCAUGAGCUGAAGUCUCAUGUUCUAGGUUCUGAUGAUGCGAGAGGUUUGAUGCUUGCCCUUCCAUUAUAACCCAAAAAUAAAAUGCCUUUGUCCCUUAUCUAAGGAGCCAAAUUAUGUGAUAUGAAGAAUUUCAUCAAAAUAAGCUGUAUAACAGAAGCCAUCAAUGCAUAGUUGCAUCCUACAAACUAUUUUGUCGGUCACCUGAUCCAUCUUACCAGCUCUAUAUGGACGUUAGUUGGCUAUUGAUUUACUAUGGGCUAUAUUAGAAUUCGAGUUAGGUCUAACUUUACCCGAAAAGCUAGCUUAGAGGUGAGGGGUGUUGUGCCUCUACCCUUUAUAAGGACUUAUUUAUCUUAAGUCAAUGUUAACCUUAACACACCCUCACGCACAGAGCUGGAGAUCUAGAGCGUAGAAUUUGCAGGAAUGAACAUUUGCGGGUGGCCCAUAUAUAAGUGGUCUACAAUAAGCGGAUCUAGGAUAGAUUUUGAUACCAUAUCAAAAUUCAGUUAGGACUUAGGCCUAACUCCACCCCAAAAGCUAGCUUAGUGGUUAGGGUUGCUCUACCCUUUAUAAGGACUUAUUUGAAUAAGUUUCUAGUCAAUGUGGGACCUUAACCGGACACAUUUUGGUCAUUUACUUCUCUCAUUCAUUUAUCUUGUCUUGCUCUUUUUGUUUUCACUCUAAUUUGCUUUCCAGGAUUGAAGUAGGAAAUCUGAUUCUCUUCAAUGAGUCUCUGGUGUUUGAAGUUCAGGUAAUGCUUUAUUUCAUUAAUAAUUGGUGAUUCUGGCUAUUAUGGCUUUGCUACACUCUCUAAAGUAACUAUAUCAUUUUGUAGGGAGUAAGGAGGUAUGCUUCAUUCUUUGACAUGUUGGAGGCAGAAAGCCUUGAAAAAGUUCUUCCAGGAGUUGAAAGUGUUGAAGAAGGUAAUAAAUAUAGAGUAAGACAUAGAUUCAGCAUGUAUAACUAGACAAACAACCAGUUUGAGAGUUUAUCUAUUCAAAAUGAAGAAUCAAAAUGAUCACAUCUGGUUUACUUCAACUAUUUAUACUGAAUCUAAGCUCUGUUAGUAGCCAUACUCCUCUCGUAUGCAGGUUGUUGUGAGCCAAAUUGAAGUUGACAAACGAAACCACUAUGGUUGAGAGAAAAUGAGUGUUUAAUCCUCAUCUUAAAAAAAAUAUCAUCACAAACUAUCACAAAGCAUUCCGCAACAACAGCUAACACAAAUUACCAAACUUCUAGCUAAUUCCCAUAGAAUUAUGUUCCUAUAACUCUUCUUUCUACACAAAUUAGUAAAUUACUCUCUAAUUCACAACAAUUUUAGCUAAAUAUGACAUUUAUCAAUUACAGGUGUAAAGGUCUAUCGGAGGUUUUUUACAGAAGAGAAGGAACGUGAAAAUGGUGUUCUUGCAAUCAUUUUUUCAAAACCUGCCCUUCAACCUUACAUAUCUCUGGCUAGCUUAUUUUCUGUGGGUUCACUUUCCUGUAAAACACUGAAACCAUAGUAACUGUUUUCUUGUUGGAUUUAAAAAUCACCGACAAACGAUCUAAAAGGAUCUGAUCUAAAUGAUUGGUUAUUUGUGUGAUUUUGCCUUUGAUUUGGUAAUUUUUGUUACUUCCCAUUCCCAAUGAUCAUAAUUUGUAUUUCAUAUUCAGAAAAGACAAUGGUUAGCUUAGUAAUUAUGGAUUAAUGUUUUGCAAAAGAGGAAUAAUCAUUACUAUUGAUUCUUUACUCUCACAUGUCAGGUUUCAUCUGACUGCAUCUGAACUAAUGCACAAAUUGUUCUAGAAAUUCAGAUAGUUCUUGACUAAUGUGUUGUUCUGCUUUUAUCCAGGGACUAAAGUAUGAGGGUGUUCAAGGCCUUCUAGGUAUAAUUCAUACUAGGGGGACAGUUCCUAAUGCACUUCCACCACCAAGAUCAUCUCUAUUAGCAUCGUUUAAUUUGCCAUGCAAUCCAAAUGUAAGAAAAUGACUUUGUUACAUUUUUUAGGGUUAAGCUUGCAGUGAUUUAGUAAUUUUCACCUCUUCAAGGAGAUUAUUUUUUAGCUGCUUCUGUCCAUAUAUUUAUGAAGAACCUUAUGAGAAAUUAUUCUCCACAUUAAGACUUUGAAAGAAUUUUCCUUGUUUUUACAUAAUAAAUUCAGAUCCAAAUUGAACAAACAACUUCAUUGAUUCUUCAUGGAAAAUUAUAUAUGCACACUUUGUGAUCGUGAAUCAGGAAAUUUCCUUGAGUACUGGAGCUCGUGCGUUAGCCAAACAUGCUUUUAGGAGUAGCAGUGGUUAUUGGGGUUCUCUGGAUGGGAAUGGUAAGAUUUCUUUUACUGGAAUCUGUUUUUCAAAUUCCAUUCUUCCUUGGUUUCUAGGUUUUUCUUCAAGUAGAAUCUAUUUCUUAUAGAAGAUGUUGUCUAAAGAAGUUUUCUAUGUUAAGUCCAAUUUGUUUUCUGAAAUGUUUAGUUUAGUCAUUAGUGAGUAUAUUAAUAGUGUAUCUCACAUUCUUGCUCUAAGUUAAGUCACAUGGUUUUUACUUAUCCUGUCAUCUUCUUUGUUCUUUCCAGAUUCUAAUAAAAAUAGGCUUGCAAUGAAUGUCAUUAACCACUUAAUAACACAUUGUUGCUGGCUGAAUAUACAUAUUGUCCCACCACAUGGAGGUGUCUUUGAAAUAAGGGUAGCAGAAGGAUAUGGUGCACGUUGGACAGAAGACGGAAGUAAGGUGUGUGGAUAUCCCACUAAAUUCUGGUAUUUAUGUUUCUUCAUGAUGUUUUGCUAAAAAAAAGCUUUACACAUGAUACGCUGUCCUUAUCUCUCAUGACUUAAAUUAUGUUUACAACAGACUUGUCUAUCAAAAUAAAAUUUCAACCUACUUCAUUUCAGUGUAAUUGUUUUUUUCAGUUUAUUGGAUUUUUAGAGCCCUACAUGCAAGAUGGUCACUCAAAGGGAUGGAAGCACUAGUUUUUCUAGCCAGAUUGGCAGUGCCAGACCACACCAAGUACACCUUGUGACAGAAUUCCAGCAUUUCCUGUUAGCUUGUGUGGUAGUAUUUGUUUUCUAUCUCUACUUUCAUGCAUGGUAACAAGUAACCAUAGAUGAUGGAGUUAGUAUGAAUGUUAUGUUUGGAUAGUUGUUGGCACCAGUGCAAUUGGACGUUAGCACUCACUUCGAGACAAAAGUUAAUGAAACUCUUCUUAUAGAUUGGGAUGAAGUUUAGCACAAGUAGUUGUACUUUUAAGAAAUUUCCAUUAGUGCAUGUAGUUUCUUUUUCUUUUUUUUCUUAGGGGGGGGGGGGGAGGGUGGGGUGCAAGUUUAGCACAAGUAUUGAGUCAUUAAAUGUUACUGGUAAGUUCCAUUUUGGCUUCUUCCUAUCCUAUUGAUAUGAUAUUUAUUAUGGUUUUGGCCCCUUCAGAUUGCCAUAUUGUGUGGGCCUUAUGUUCAGUUUUUGUGACUUUUUCUUUCCUUUUAUCACCUCUUCAUAUUUUUCCCCUCUCACUUGCCAUUGAUCAUUUUAUCUCCUGUCAAUAUAGUUUUCUAUGUAAUUCAUAUGUACACCAGCACCUCUUGUAAUACAUUUGUAUACAACAAAAGCAACCAAUCCCCAUUUCAUUGAUAGAAAUCUCUAACUAGACUAAGGGUAUGUCUGGAUAUUCGUUUUCAUGAGUACAAAUGGACAUUAGCACACACAGUUGAACUUUUUUUUAUAGAUUGGGAUGAAAGUUCGUUCAGGUUACUUCCGUUAAUACUCUAACACUAAUUUCCAUAUCUGUAUUACAGUCAUGCAGAAAAAUUCGUUGAAGCAUUUAUUUCUGAAAUGAAUUUUGAACACCUAAGAUUUUUUUAAACUGGUAAGAUUACAAAGUAGUAAACUAGGAAGUGCAAACUCUUCUGAUAAUAUCUAAUUAAACUCAUUUCAUUAGUAUAUCAUUUUCCCCCCUCAGUUGAUGAAGGUUGUGGCCAUUUUUUAUUAAGUUGUCUCUAAAGAGACGGUAGUCUCAAUGUAGUGAAAGGUGGGUGAUUCACAACUGGUGGUGAUUCACAAAUUCUUUAUUUAAAUCACAUAUGAGAUUAGUGUACUUUGAAAGGAUUAUUACUAGCUGUCAUAGCUAUCAUUAAUGGAUUGAAAUCCUCAGUCCCCAAUUAUAUUUUGUUCUCUCUUCCCAUCAAUUAAAUAUUCAGGUCAAUUAAAAAAACACAUCAUUUAUGUAAGUUUGUAAUUGUCUGACGCAUGCAACAACAGUUUUUUUGAAAAAAAAAAAUUGACAUAGAAAUUUUUGAUUGGUUGAACAAGAAAUGUGGCACAAAUUGAAGACAGAGAAUCCUCAUUCUGAUCAUACUACAGUCUGUGUUUGAGCACAACCAUUUUUAUCCAACACCUUCUCUUGCCACUCCAGUAAAUUACAGAUAUACAGAAGAAGCUUCUGUUUCCUUUUCAUGCUUGCAAUCUGCAUUGGGUUGAACGGUUGUGGUAACACAAAUUGUGAGGUAACAAAGUUGUAACGGUCCAUCUUUGUUUGCAUGCAUUCUAAUCUAUGUAUAUUUGCAUGGAUAACAAGCAGACUUGUGUGAAUGUUACAGUUUUGUGUCCUUUUUUAUCAUGUUGAAAUGAAAAUUGAAGAAUCCAUUGGGAAAUUAGAUUUCGAUGCCUAUCUAUUCUUGGUCAUAUCAAAAUCUUUUGGGGAAGUUAGUGGAGGCAUGUAAUGUCAGCCUCGUCAUUCCUCAUUGUGCUACUCCAAGUUUCCACCCUCUUCUGUGAUCAUUGCUUGCAUCUCAAGUGAGCACACUUUGAUUAGACUAAUCGCCACAAAAUUUUGCGAAGGAAAAACCGCGCUAAAGCAUAUAUUUGAGUGUGUCUAGAAAUUGUGUAUGUUUAUGUAUAAUCACUCGGUAAAGGAUAUAAAAUGAAAGAAAAAAGGUUUAAAAAACGAUAUGUAGAGUAUUAGAGGUGUAUGAGACAUAUCACUAGCAUUGGUCUAAAAGUGCAUUUGUUGGAAGAAUUGAGUUUGAAAAAUAGGAAUGAAAACAACACAUCAAUAAUUUAUAUUGAAAGAUUUAUCAAAAAAAAAUUUAUAUUGAAAGAAUUUGUAGUUAACGGUAGUUGGGUAGAUAUAAUUUAUUUUUUAAAAAGUUUUCAAGCAGAUGGCAAUAAUUUUAAUUUUAAAGCUUUUCUGCUGACGCACCCAACUUGUUUGUUUUGCCCCCUUAAAACUAAAGAAAACACAAUUAUGGAUAACUAUUAACAAGCUUAACUCUGCUUAAAAAAAACCAAGCUUAACUAAUUGCUUUUCUGUAUUAUUGAGUAGAAAAAGAAUAANNNNNNNNNNNNNNNNNNNNNNNNNNNNNNNNNNNNNNNNNNNNNNNNNNNNNNNNNNNNNNNNNNNNNNNNNNNNNNNNNNNNNNNNNNNNNNNNNNNNNNNNNNNNNNNNNNNNNNNNNNNNNNNNNNNNNNNNNNNNNNNNNNNNNNNNNNNNNNNNNNNNNNNNNNNNNNNNNNNNNNNNNNNNNNNNNNNNNNNNNNNNNNNNNNNNNNNNNNNNNNNNNNNNNNNNNNNNNNNNNNNNNNNNNNNNNNNNNNNNNNNNNNNNNNNNNNNNNNNNNNNNNNNNNNNNNNNNNNNNNNNNNNNNNNNNNNNNNNNNNNNNNNNNNNNNNNNNNNNNNNNNNNNNNNNNNNNNNNNNNNNNNNNNNNNNNNNNNNNNNNNNNNNNNNNNNNNNNNNNNNNNNNNNNNNNNNNNNNNNNNNNNNNNNNNNNNNNNNNNNNNNNNNNNNNNNNNNNNNNNNNNNNNNNNNNNNNNNNNNNNNNNNNNNNNNNNNNNNNNNNNNNNNNNNNNNNNNNNNNNNNNNNNNNNNNNNNNNNNNNNNNNNNNNNNNNNNNNNNNNNNNNNNNNNNNNNNNNNNNNNNNNNNNNNNNNNNNNNNNNNNNNNNNNNNNNNNNNNNNNNNNNNNNNNNNNNNNNNNNNNNNNNNNNNNNNNNNNNNNNNNNNNNNNNNNNNNNNNNNNNNNNNNNNNNNNNNNNNNNNNNNNNNNNNNNNNNNNNNNNNNNNNNNNNNNNNNNNNNNNNNNNNNNNNNNNNNNNNNNNNNNNNNNNNNNNNNNNNNNNNNNNNNNNNNNNNNNNNNNNNNNNNNNNNNNNNNNNNNNNNNNNNNNNNNNNNNNNNNNNNNNNNNNNNNNNNNNNNNNNNNNNNNNNNNNNNNNNNNNNNNNNNNNNNNNNNNNNNNNNNNNNNNNNNNNNNNNNNNNNNNNNNNNNNNNNNNNNNNNNNNNNNNNNNNNNNNNNNNNNNNNNNNNNNNNNNNNNNNNNNNNNNNNNNNNNNNNNNNNAGAGAGAGAGAGAAGCUUUAGUGUUCCUUUUAAUGCAUUGUUUGUUUAGCAUGGAAAGAGGGUGGAAGAAUGGAAGAUGUGUGGAAAAUACUAUUUUCAUCUAUUUGGAUACCCAUGGAAAAUGCAUGGAAAAGAAAUAUGAUGUGCAGGUCCCACAAUUUUUUUUGGUUAAGCCCACACAAUUUUUAUUUUUAAACCCCACACAAAAAGUUUUCCUCACAACUUUGGACGUAAAACUAAAAAAUGGAACCAUUUAUAUUAAACUUUCUAUAAUGCUCGUAUUUCAAUUAUUUUUUGAAAUCAACCUGAAUCAUUAGAUUAAAUCAAAGGAGGCACGCCAAAACAUCAAUUGACACAAGCGGAGCUACCUGUGCUAGCACUUCCUCAAUCCAGACGGACCUUGGGAAAGAAGAAGCAUGUCUAGCAUGAUAGUCCACCACACUAUGGAUAAUAAUUAUUAAUAAAAUAAAUAACGAGAUAAUAGUAUGUUAUCCAACGGUUUGUUUAGGAUCCUGUUUAAUUAGUGGAUAUCGAUCGAGUGACUUGUUUCGUUGUUUUUAAUUUCAAUGGAGACUUACCCAAUAGGGUAGACACUAAAUUUUUGGUAGGGUGUUAAACUUCUGGACUUUUCUUGAGAUGUUUGCUAUAGUAGCAAAGUCCUUAUCAGCUUUAUACUACUAAACUACUGUAUCCACAUUGAUGACAUUGAUGAGAGUUAGAAAGGAUGAUAAAUUAAUAUUAUAAUAAUAUGAAGAAAUAUUUUUCAUUGCACAAGUUGUAGGAACAUUAUUAAAAUAUAUUAAUUUUUAAAUAAUAUUUUGGCUUAAAUACUCUGGAGGUCCCUGAAAUUGUCCGUCGUACGAAAAUAAGUUCCUGAAUUUUUUUUUUCCGAUUCCGAAUCCCUGAAAUUUUUUUUUAAUUAGAAUAAGUCCCUACUCGUGUUUCCACCUAUGUGGCACAAUUUUUGCUGAGUCAUUUAUUCCACGUGGCUUUUCUAUUUUUUUUAAAUUCACAUGAAUUAAAAAAAUAAAAUUAAACAUGUAAAUUUAAAAUUAAAAUAUUUUUAGGGAUUUAGGGUUAAUUAGAUUUAGGGAUUUAUUGUUAAUUAGAUUUAGGGUUAAUUUGGUUAAUAAGAUUUUAAUUUUAAAUUUAAAUAUUUAAAUUUAAAAUUUGAAUAUUUUUAUGGAUUUAGGGUUAGUAAGAUGUUAAUUUUAAAUUUAAAUGUUUAAUUUUAUUUUUUUAAUUCAUGUGUAUUUAAAAAAAUAGAAAAGUCACGUGGAAUAAAUGACUCAGCAAAAAUUGAGCUACAUAGGCUGGAAACACGAGUAUGAACUUAUUCUGAUUAAAAAAAAAUUCAAGGAUUCGGAAUCGGAAAAAAAAAAUCCAGGGACUUAUUUUUGUACGACAAACAAUUUCAAGGACCUCUAGAGUAUUUAAACCAAAAUAAAUUAUGUGACCCUUUCUUGAAUCAGCCAAUGACUUUGUUAGAUAAGUACCGGCCAACAGGUUUAAUUUAAAAAUCUCAUUUAAAAGUGAGUGACGAAAUUGUAUCAUCAAUAUUACGUACGCAUCGUGAAAUUUUAAAAAGUUUUGUUGAAAAUUCAUGUCAUGAAAUAUAGUGCUUAAUUUAAACUUUUAAACCUAACUUAUUAUAAGCGACAAUAUUAUAGUGGACAAGAAAAGUUGCAAAAUGAUGGACCACCAUCAAUAGGAUCGCCCAUAAACCUUUUUUAACAAAGUAAAAUAAUUAAGAAACGGAUGAGGCUAUGGCAAAGACAUUUCUCCAAUGAUUAGAUGGUAUGUUGGUAGAAAGAGCUUUUCUCUAUCUUGGCUUCUUGGCUAGACCUUAGGGGAAUAAGUUCCCAUUUGAUACCAUAUAAUUUUGAGCUAUUACAUUGUUAUAUUCUUCUCCGUUUGAUACCAUCUAAUUUUGAGCUAUUACAUUAAUUCACGCAUGGAUGCCAAAGUGCAAAUCUUCAACAUUGUUCACACAAUAUUCCAAAGGUACAAGUUAGGUAAAAAAUUCUAACUCAGUGUUAACUCGGAUUUUUAGAAAAUAAAUAGGAACCCACGAGUAAUGUGGGGACCAAAGUCAAGUUAUCUUAUAUUUUUUAAAUUCCUUCAACUACUCAAUUGUAAGUCAGGAUUCAAUUCUUCGAGUAAAAUAAAAUGGUUCUCAGUUAUCCAAUUUUCAACUACACUACAAAACAUAAUUCGCCCGUACCAUCCGUCAUAACUUAGCCAAUUUGUAGCUAUUUGCAAACUGCUUUGAUCGAAAAACCACUCUUUCUCUUAUAGGCCUAAAACUUAACUAUAAUUUACACCUCGUUAAAUUUCAGGCGUUAACUCAACCCUAAAGAAAAAAAGAAUGAGCAUACAUUUGUUGAGGCUGGGGAACUCAUUAUAUAAUCAUCCCGACCUAAUUACAUAUAACCUCAGGCAUGUAAUUUCUCCUUGCUUAAAUCCAUCAUAAUGGCAUUCAUGGCUCGACCCCCAUUGGGGAGUAAUUGUUCCCUACGAAUCACUUCCUUUCUGGCUUUUUAACAAUUGGCGGAGCCACAAUUGGCCUUACAUUCAAUUUUGAAAGAUUCAUUCGCUAUGUUGGGCCUUCAUGGACCCUGAUCUGCCAGACCCAAUAUGCCUUAAGAAGAUUAGAUCAUCAAACUCGGUCGACCCGAUACCAGAACAAACAUGAUGAACUGUUACAUUGUUGCAUGUCAACUUAAUAUAGCAUCUAGUUAGAAAAAAAAAGUCAUGUGGUUCGCAAGCUCCUUUCUCAAUCUUGUGUGUUGUUAGUCGCCACCAUAUACAAUAUUUUCCGUGAAACCUAAAUCCUUUCCGGUACAAACAGAUAACGAAAUUAUCACUAAGAGUCAAAAUUUUGUGAAAAAUUCACAAGCUAACCACCGUUUUUAAAGUAAUACUUGAGAGUUGAACCAUCAACUUUAAUAUCACUUAUAGAGUAUGAGGCAGGGUCCAAAGUAAGAGGAAAACUCUAUUAAUGGGCUAAAAGGUAAAAUAUCAACACUGAUCUAACACAACAUCUUGACCAAAUUUAUGAAAAUCCUUGUGAGUGAAUCACAUUUUUUUGUAUUAUCUUUAUCUCUCUCACUCUAAAGUCUAAACAAUGUGAAAAUCCUUAGUAAAAGUUAAAACAUAAAAAGCCAACAAAUACAAAACGGUUGUUUCCUUCCGUUUUGUCCUUGUAUCAAAUGCAACUUUCUUAAUAGACACUAAUUUAAGUGUGUUAUUGUUUUGUUCUAACUUGUCAAUCAAAAGCUAUUAUAAUAUCAUAAUUUUGUAGAUUAGGCACUAACUUAUUUGUUGUUUUAGAGUAGAAUAUGAUCAAAAUGAUGACAAAAUAUACCUGAAGUUGCUUUCGGAUGCAUGAAAUCAAUAUUUUUUUUUAUAUUGAACUUUCCAAUAAGUAAGGCAUCGUCAGGAGGGUGGUCAUCCUCAGGCAUCUCCAUUAUUAACAUCAUAAAUUUAGCAUCAUAUUUUUGUCUAAUAUUUUUAUUUUCAAGAGACAAUUUUAUUCGAAUAAAGAACAUUUAAGAUAUUGCUUAAGAGAAAUUAAGCAUGUGUUAUUUGACUCAACCACAUAUUGUAGUGUAAAUUUAGUAGUACCAUUUAAACAUGUAGGUCGCAUUUUAUGAGGCUGAAGUCAUAGCCACUCUUAAAUGCUCUUCUCUUCUAGCAACACGUUAACAUUUCAAGGGUAAUCAUCGAGAGUGACUCUUCACUGAAGAUAGAUUGGGUUGACAACAAAGCCCACAAACCAUGAAAAUUACUAGUAAUUCCUUAAACAUAAUUGAUUAACUGAUUUUUUUUUUUUGAUAUAUUGAUCAACUGCUAUUGAAAGUUAUGUGUUUGGGUGUAUUUCAUGGAUUUAGGGAGGUAGACGGUUUUGCUGAUUCUCUAGUAAAACAAAAUUGUUAUAGGCAUUCUUUGAAAAUGUAUAAUAUGUCCUGUGUCACCUCCUCUGUUUUGCAUCUGCUGUUAAGUGAUUAAUAAAAUCAGUUUUGUUCAUAAAAAAAUACAAUUAAGACAUUUAUUGAUGCUAAGGCCUAAGGGGGAACAUUAUUUGUGAUUUUAAAAAUGUGAGACCAUGACAAGAGAUCAAUGUAAUGAAUUGGCACCUAGGGGUGGAUUAUUUAUGUGUGUGUAAAAUUUAAGAUUAAUAGCGAAGUCAACAAGGUUUUAAUGAGUUAUAUGACAACAUCAAGUCCUUUUAAUAAUAUUAUAGUUAUUUCUAUUGUCUUAAUUUUAUCUUCAUCUCUUUGUUUGCAUUCCAUAAAGAAAUAUUUUGUUUGUUAUUUUCCGUUUAGAAUUAUAUGAUUGCCAUGCAGUGAUUGAGGAUUCCUCGCCCACAUAUUUUAUAUUUGGGAAUUUAUGUUUCAUCCCUUCCAAAGCAAUUUGCUUGAUUAAGUGGAUAUUCUAGUGGGAAUAGUUGUGUAGAUUAGAAUUAAAGAUGGAAGCAAUAGUUCAUGACAAACCCUGAUUAAUCUUAAAACUAUCAUCACCUUUAAAUUAGCUUUUUAGCCUCAACCUCUCCCUCCUCAAACCUUCAUUCUUGAAAAGAUAGAAAAAGAAGAGAGAUAAAAAAAAAAAAAGAAAUAAAUAAUGAAUGUGAUACGUGAUUUAAUGAAAGAGAGAUAUAAUAAAAUAUGGUGUAUAUAGGUGUUGUUGUAAAAAAAUAGGAAAUCAUAAAAUCUCCAACAACCAUCUCUUUACCAAGGUAGUCAAAUCGAGAUACGUAUCGUGUAUCGCUAGACCCUAAUUCCGUGUCGCGUAUCGUAUCGUAACGUGUAUCGUAAGAUACGGACACAAAAAAAAUUAAGUAAUAAAUUAAAUAAUAUACUAAUAUAUCAUCUAAAUAUAGUUCAAAAUAAUCAAAGAUCCAAGUCAUAAGUAGAAAAAUAGUCUCACAAAGUUCAAGUUCAACCUAAUUCCAGCCAAACUAAAGUACUAAACAUCAAAGAGAUGAAAUUAAAUGCCCACUCCCUAAUUCCAAGCCAUUAAAGGGCUGCUGAAGUUGAACGUGAAACAUGAAAGGGCUGCUGAAGUGAAGUUGAACGUGAAAAGGUGAAAGAAUCGAAGAAAACAUCACUUUUUAGAGCAAUUUACUAAUUUUUAAUGAAAUUAAAUGCCCACUCCCUAAUUUUUCUAGGGGAGUAAGAUGAAACGACAUUUGAAAAACUGUUUUUGUAUCGUAUCGGGAUACGUAUCGUGCGAUACUCAUGCGAUAUGUGCGAUACAGGUCACGAUACGAACACAAAAAGAUACAUACAUGGGAUACGUAUCGUUUGGUUGAUUUUCGUAUCGUAUCGGGAUACGUAUCGCACGAUACUGACACCAUGCUCUUUACUUCUAUUUAUUUAUUUAUUUAUUUAUUUAUUUAUUUAUUAUUAUUAUCAGCACAUAUAUAAUAUCUGUCGUACUACAGAAGCAAUUAUUCAUCAAACUAUAUUAGCCAUGAUCACAAGUUGUGAGUGUGACAAUGACCCUGUAUAAAAGAUUUAGAACUCAAAACAUAUUGCAAUUCCUCUGAGCACAGGUGCCUUAAUUACUUCCUUGGAAUUCAAACAGUGCCACAUGGUCAAAGGAAACCAUAAUCCACACACCAAAGAAAAUAUGGACAUUACUCCUUAUACUUCAAAGAAAACACACUUCAACCACCACCAUCAUGAAGCACCCAUAGACUUGCACAGGAUCAACCACCCCCAACACAGUAAUCCGACAUCAACAAGCCGUUCUUCAGAGUCUAGUGAAACCUGUGAUGAUGGAAAAUGGGCCUCCAAGCUUCUGAGAGAGUGUGCCACAGCAAUAUCAGAGAGAAACUCAACAAAAACUCACCAUCUUCUAUGGAUGCUAAACGAACUUUCUUCCCCUUAUGGAGAUCCUGAUCAGAAACUAGCUUCUUACUUCUUGCAAGCUCUGUUUUGCAAGGCCACAGACUCUGGCUUCAAGUGCUACAAGACCCUCUCCUCAGUUGCUGAGAAAAACCACUCCUUUGAUUCAGCCAGAAAAUUGAUCCUCAAGUUUCAAGAGGUGAGUCCUUGGACAACCUUUGGACAUGUGGCUUCAAAUGGUGCCCUUUUGGAAGCCUUAGAAGGCGAGACCAAAAUUCACAUAGUUGAUAUCAGCAACACCCUUUGCACUCAGUGGCCUACUCUGUUGGAAGCUCUGGCUACAAGAAAUGAUGAAACUCCUCACUUGAAACUCACUGUUGUUUUGUUGAGUAAUAAGAUUGUAGGGUCUGUGAUGAAGGAGGUUGGUCAACGAAUGGAGAAGUUUGCAAGGCUAAUGGGUGUUCCCUUUGAGUUUAAUGUGGUUAGUGGGUUGAGGAGCCUCACAAAAGAAGGGUUAGGAGUUCAAGAGAAUGAGGCAAUUGCUGUGAAUUGUGUUGGUGCAUUGAGGAGAGUGGAGGUGAAAGAAAGGGAAAGUGUGAUUGGCAUGUUUAAAUCACUUAGUCCUAAAGUGGUGACUUUUGUUGAGGAAGAAGGUGAUUUUGUUACCUCAAGAGAUGACUUUGUGAAGAAUUUUGAAGAGUGCCUUAAGUUCUAUAGCCUCUACUUUGAGAUGUUGGAGGAGAGUUUUCCUCCAACAAGCAAUGAGAGGUUGAUGUUGGAGAGGGAGUGUUCAAGAAGCAUAGUUAGGGUUUUGGCUUGCAAUGAUGGUGAUGAAGAUGGUGGUGGUGGUGGUGAUCAAGGUGGUGAUUGUUGUUGUGAGACAAGGGAGAGAGGGACACAAUGGUCUGAAAGACUUGGGAGUGCGUUUUCCCCUGUUGGAUUCAGUGAUGAUGUAGUGGAUGAUGUCAAAGCAUUGCUCAAGAGGUACCAAGCUGGGUGGUCACUUGUGGUGCCUCAAGGAAAUGAUCAUAAUCUCUCAGGAAUAUAUCUCACAUGGAAGGAGGAACCAGUAGUUUGGGCAUCAGCAUGGAAGCCCCAGCUAGCUACUUGAAUAUGUGUCUAGCCAGUAUCAUUAUGUUUAUUAUGUUUAGUGUAACUCGUUCAAAAACUACAGUUAAGACAAAAUAAUGAUGGACAGAAGGAACUUCUCUUGUACUUCUGUCCAUCAUGAUUUUACCUUUACUGCGAUGUUUAAACGAGUUUUCAAACAUGCAUUUAGUCUUGUUUGGAAAUUUUUCUACAAUUGAUUUCUAAAAUCUGAAUCAAUUCUGGAAAGAAGCUUCUAUGAUUAGCUUCAAGUUUCAGAAUUCAUUUUGAUAAAAGAAAAAUUGAUGCAAACAUAUACUAUCAGUGCCAUGCCAUAUAAAUCAUAUGGUAUCUGGAUAGGCUAAUACUCAAGGGACAGAAAUUUCUCACUGGAAAAUAAGGUUUGGCUUGCCCUAUGGAUAUAGCAAUUAGCAAUGGCUAUAUAUUGAAACUGAUCUGGAUUUUUCUUUUGACUUUCUCUCCUGAUUCUUGCAUAGUACUUUGUAAUCUUUCUCCUGUCCAACUCCUCUAGAGAGGUAGCAUUUUGCUUGGGAGUUUGUGUUGUUAACUAUAUGGCUUUUUACACUUUUAUAUAUUAUAAUGAUUUAAGUUCAUUGCUAUUGUUUGAAGGUGUUUGCACCUGUGCUCUUUUUAUGAAUUCCAUGGCUUUCCUGCUUCCUGUACAUGGGGAAGGGGAAUUGAGUUUGGUGCCCCACCCCUUAGGCUUUGCACCCCACUUUAUUAAAUACGGAAUUUAAAGUUCCGUAUCAAUACGGAAAAUAAAAUUCCGUAUCUGUUUUAGUAUAUAAUGAGUGGUUGAAAAUGUGACACGCAUGCUUAAAUACAGUACGGAAUUUUAAGUUCCGUAUUCAAUAGGGAGAAUACGGAAUUUUAAAUUCCGUAUUUGAUAAAGUGGGGUGCCAAGCCCCAUAGGUGGGGUGCCAAACCCAACUCCCCUGUACAUGCAUGUAUUAUUUCCUUAACUUUAUUUUUCUUUCAGGGCAUUGUACCUUGUUAAGAUGAUGAUAUCUCAAUAAUUUACCUGCAUACAUAAAGUCCUUUAUGCUUAAACUUUUCAGAAUUCAGGAUAUGUUUUGGUACUUUCUUACCUGAAAAUUACAUUGUCUUAUAAUUAAUUUUUUUUAGGUAGUCUUAUAAUUAAUAUUAAUUAUUACUCCUUUUCUAUAUGUUUUAUUUGAAAAAUUGUACAUGACUUCUUUUAACUAUUAAGAAGAUUAUCGUUAAAUACUAACCUUUUUUUAAGAAAAUACUAACGUUAAUAUCAAGAAAACUUAGUGUAAAGCAAUCCCUAAGUUUUUAUAUUUUUUUAGAUGUCUCUUUCCCCCUAGCUUAGCUUCCUUAUUUCAACAUGUUAAACUCCGUUCCGGACGGUUCUGUUUUAAAAUUUUAAAAAACAAAUAUUAAUUUUCAGCUGUAUAAAUUCAAUUGUAAUUCAAGGGUUGUUGUUGGGCUUACAUUUUCUCUGGCUUAAAAAUUGGAAGAAGGUCAUGUGUGGUGUGGAUUGUCUGGAGUUGGUGAAUGUGCUUGGUAAGAAUAAACUUGAUUUUCAUCAUUAUGGCAGUGCUUUGAUGGAUAUUCAGCUUCUUCUCUCGCGCAAUUGAGAGAUUUCUAUCUGUCAUGUUUGUUGAGAAGGCAAUGCUCCAUUGGAUUGACUAGCCGGUCUUGGAGCUAGAUUACAGUGUCCUAUAACUGAAUUGGAGUCCCCUCCUUAGGCGGUCCUGCCCCUCUUGUCGGCGGGCCGAGUCGCGGUGUAGUUUUGUCGUUUAUUUUUCCUAUUUACCAAAAAAAAAAUCAAUUGUAAUUUCCUGAGGUUUUCAAUUUUAAAAAUUGUUGUCAAGUUUAUAAAUUUAUGAUAGUCAUAACGGUUUUUAAGAUGGUAGAGGCGAUAGUGGUGGUGGUGGUGACGGAGAUGGGUGUAAUCUGGUGGCGACGGCGGUAGAAGUGACAAUGGUGGUUGAGGCGAUGGCAGUGGUGGAGGUUGAUAGUGACACUGUGACAGUAAUGACAGUGGCGCCGGUAACAAUGACAAUGAUCGAGAGGUGGUGGUGGAGAUGGUGGCAGUAGUAAUUGUAGUGGCAGUGAUGAUGAUGGUGGAGGCAGUAGUGGAGGGUGGUUUUAAUGGUGAUGGUAGGGGUAGUGAACAAUGGUGGUGUUGAUGGCGACUUUGGUGACGGUGGAUGUGGCGGUGAUUGUGGUGGUGGUGGAGGAGAAGAGUGGUGGUGGUGGUGGUGGCGGGUUACAUGGUUUUGAUAAUAAGAGUAAACUGUUUUGAAUUUAAGUAAAACACAAUUACAGCUCCAUAUUUUCCGAACUAGUUUUGUUUUAAAAUUUAUAUUUGAAAACUAAAAAGUAAAAAACCAAAAACUCGCAACCACCUUUAACGGUUCACCGAGUGGAACAUGACAAAGUCGUAUCUUACAGAUUAAUGGUUCGAGCCCCUCAGGAGUUUCCUUUACCAUUGACCGAUGCACACUAUAUCCUCACUUUAAAUUUGUCUUCACAAGAGAAAAGAAAAAAUUGCUACCACAAGUUGGAAUUUGUGAAUCCAUCACUAGGAGCAAAUAGACUCAAAUUUCUAGAACAUAUCAAAUACGAGACGAUAUCAUACUUCACUCAACUAACAGUUAAAUUAUUACAACUACUAAAAACUCUUCAUCUCCUAAUAGUGAUGAACUAACUCUUGCAAGUAAAAUGUACUUGAAUAAUUUUAUACGGAUACAUGUUGAACCCUCCAAAUUAUAAAAAAGAAAGGAUACAUAUUGUUAACUACAAGUUUCACAUAAUUUCGACUUAUAUUGUGUAAUUCGACUGUUUAAUGAAAGUCGAAAGUUUGAAGAUCCAGGCAAGAAAUUUGUUAAGUGUCAGAUAAUGUUGACACUUAUAGUUUCGACCUAAAGAAUAAAUUUCGAGACAUAAGGAAUUUGAUGUUGAAAGCCGGUUGUUUUUUGAACAUGACUCAAGGAGGACACGUGCAAGGCAAGAAGACACGUGUAAGACGAAAGGGACUUCAGAAGACACUUGUAAUCGCUUUGUUAAAUGACUGUUAGGAGUCAGUUAUAUUUUAGGUCUAUAAAUAGCAUAUUAUUACAUAGAAUCAGGGUUCACGAAUACUUACUCGAAUGUACUCAAAACGCUUACAGUCGAACGCAAUGACUACAAGCAAACUUAGAGGAAAAAAGUAGGAAUUUUGUGAAACUAUUUUAUUUUAAGAUUCAAGUAUCAUAUUGAAAGUUUCAGUACUUGUUUAUUUACUUUAGUCGAAUUUUACUUGUUUCAUUCAUAUUUCUUAUUAAGUUUUCUCAUUUUUUAUCAAUUAAUAUUUAAGAUAUUUUCGCCAAAGAACCUAAGGACUCGAAUCCAGUAUCCAGAUUGAUCUUUGGAUUCUUUAUUUGUUUUAUUAAAAUUUGGUGUAAACACAUAUUAAAGUUGAAGUGAUGGCCAUGAAUAUGGUGUACAAAUUUAGCAGAAGGAGUAGGGGAAUUAAAGACACUGAGGGAGACCAUGCAGAAAGUGACUCUAUAUUUCCUUCCACAGGCUUUCGCUUUAGAAAUGCAACAACUUGGUGGAAAGAAAGAACUCAGUGGGAAACAUGGAAACCGUACGAAUCAUAAAUUUCAAAAGUAAUCACAGUCUAGAAUAUUUUCCACAGGGGCCACUUGGUUCUUGGAGCCACAGUUUCGGUUGUCGAUUAAGAUUCUAUGCCCCAAUAAGACAUCUAUGUUUGAAUGUGUCAUAUUAAUUGGGGUUAAAUGUUUUUUUCAUGACUUAUGCACCAUAAUUUAAAAUGAUCUUGAAAACUUUCAUAGUUUUAAUCAUUGAAAAAAUUUGUUUGAUAUAAACCUAGUUCGGUCGAUUGACAGCCCAAACUGAAGCCGACUGAAAUUAACCACCAUGAAUCAAUUAAAAAUCUCAACCAUUCAACCGACCUGAAUCGACCCGAUGGACCAAAAAGGCCCUCGGUUUGGGUCGGGCCUGUUUUGUCUGGACAACCCUAGUGAGUAAUCGAUUACACAUCGAAUGUAAUCUGUUCCACAUUAAGUGUAAUCAAUUUAAACCAGAGAAUAUAUAAUAGUAUAAAAUUGAACGGUGUAGAUUAAUUAUGACCUAAGCAGGUGCUAGCGUCCAUUUGCACUAAUGUCAACAAAUAUUCAAAGAUAGUCUUAAGGUGUAUUUGAUGAAAUAACUUAAUUAAGCAAUUAUAAUAAUAAGCCUUUGUCACAUAAACACUUAUCCAUGACUAAUUUGAUAAGCUGAAUACAUUGAAAAUAUUUUAUAUAUAUAUAAGUAUAAGCUCAUAUUCAUAAGUUUAUUUGACCAGCUUAUGAAAAUAAACUUAACAAUCACAACUUACUUGAAAAACUUGCAUAAAAUUUAUGCAAUGAGCUUAAAUAAUAUUUUUCAAAUAGAAGUGUUUAGAAUUGGGAGUUUGAAGGUAAAAUGAAGAAGAGGGGGCCAUAUAUAAUAGACCCUGGCUAGCACAAAGGCUACCGACUGAAUUGUGUGUGCCUUUUUGGUGUAGCAGUGAUUUGAAUAGCAUAUUUGCCUUUAGUGAGUGAGCUAUUCCCUUCCAUUGCUCUUUAGUUUUAUAGGCCAACAUUACAUAGUGGCAAGCAACUUUUUGGAUUCAGAUUGGACUUGUUGGUACCAUCAUGGGUACUAUUUUCUUUGUUACUUGCUCGUCACACGUAACGGUGCCAUAACUUAUAUUCUUGGUUGCUUUCUUUCGUUCACAUAGAUAUAUACAAACACAAGAAUGCAAACACAUAAUACAUGCUUCACAACAUUAAAGUGCAUGGCCACUAGCUACUAUAUAUGUUCAUGACCACGUCCUGUUAAAUGAUAUUUUGAUCGCGUAUGAGCCCAUGCAUUUUUCUUUUUGGAAGAUUCCAUGCUCUUUCACUCUUUUGAGUUCUUUGUCUAAUUCAAGUUUGAAAUUUAAAAGAAAAUGAAUUUACACAUUGAUAGGAUAAGUUUGUCUUCACAUUUACUUUUAACUGAAUGGAGACCAAACAAGAAAGCUCCUUUUCACGUGGAUUAUUUGCUUUGAAAAUGAUCAUUUUACUUUCAACACCGGGCUAAACGCUCAAACUAAGGAUUGUCACUCCUUACAUAAAGGGAAUUAUACUAGAAUCAAACAUAAGAGGAACAAAACAGAAAGAAAGAGCAAAGUCAUAAAUCAUAAAAGGCACCAAAAGGCUCAUUUCAUUCUUAACAAAGGAAUUUGCAACUGAAUUCACCUCUCUGGACACUGAACACACGUAUUACAAAUGAACUUGCUCAAAACUACCAAUUAAAUAGCCUUUAAUAUCUCUAACCAAAGGAGAAAAAAGUUUAGAACCAGGGCAGUCUUUAUCAAUAGUUCUCACUACAAAAUUAGAAUCUAUUUCAACUAUGACUUUAGUGAAGCCUCUUGCAAGUGCUAAAUUCGGCCCAUGAUAAAUGCCACAUAAUUCUGCCUGGUUAAUGGAGCAACAGUUCAUCAGGGAAGAGAAGCCAAACAUAAAAUUACCUUCAUGAUCUCGUAUAACACCGCCGCAAGCCGCCCUCUUCGUGAGAGAGGAGAAAGAUCUGUCAGUAUUAAUCUUGAUCUUAUCAUGUCAAUACUUCUUGUAUGCACUGCAUAUAUAAUAGAAUCAUAGCUUGAACAUCCAUAAUCGUUUUGUGAAUCCUACUACAAAUGAAGGGUGGAGAGGAUCCACGCCAAUGUUGUUGAUUAAUCUAUACACAUAGUUAGUAAAAAAAAGUGCAAACAUAGUAGUUAGCUCAACUCAUAUUGCAUCAUAUUCUUAAAAAAUCAUAUUCUAUUAUCUCUACCAUUUUUCCAUAGUUAUACAUAAUUACCAAGGACUAGUUUAUUCAAGUGAUAGAUACUUAAUUCUCCUUAAGUAAGAUUUUUUUUCCAUGUUUUGUAUAAAAAUUCCUCGCCGGGAAAACUAACUUCACAAGAAUUAUCUCCCAUAAAAGAUACCAAAAUAAUAGUUAUAAAUAAUCACUCGUAUGAUAGUUUUUUUUUCUUUUUCAAUUGUUUGGUUGGAUAAACAUUCUUUUUUUUUAGAAAAAGAUAAACACUCUUAGCCCAAAUGAUCUGAGCCCAAUCCAUAUUCUCAAAUGGCCCUUAUAACAAAGGAUAUAAUCGUCAUUUAGACUAGGGUCAAAAUCGGUAUUUCAAAUGUAGGCUAGGGUUUCGUUUAUGAACCCUGAACCGUAUAAGGCGCAGAGUGAAGUGUGCAGAGGCGGAGAUCGAGAGCGAAUCGCAGCGAAGUCGACUCCACCAUGGUAAUUCUUCCGAUUCCGAUUACCUUCUUCAAUUGUUCUCGCAUUUUACAGUUUCCCUCUCUAGUCGAUUCCCAUUUUGCUGUAUCUCUCUGUAUUCGAUUCGCAAUUUGCAGUAUUUCUAUGGUUUUUUGUCUGAAAUCGAAACCCUUUGUAUAAUUUCAACUCUGAUUACGAAGCCCAAACGAAAGUUUGUAAAUUUAGUUGCUAGCGGUUUAGUUGAAUCAUUUUUGCUUGUGUAGUUAUUUUUUUUGUUUUCAGCAGUGAAGAUUGGAACUUUUUUUUUUUGUAGAAUGUUUGAUUUGAUUUAGGUUUAUGCUUUGGUUUAGGUUUCUGAAAUUUUAAAUCAAUGUUUCUGCAAUGUUUGUGUGAUAGAGAGCAAUGGUUUUUUGUGAUUCAUAUUGUUGACCCCACUUAGAUGACCUCACUUAGUUGAUUAAUGUUGUUGUUGUUGUUGUUGUUGGUGGUGGUGGGUGGUGGUGGUGGUGUUCCCGCUACCGUCUAUGUUGUUGUUUGUGUAGAGUGUGCCUUUUGUUUUCAAUGGUUUCUUGUGAUUCAUAUUGUUGACCCCACUUAGUUGAAUAAUGCUGUUGAUGAUGGUGGUGGUGACUGGUGGUGUUGUUGCCACCGUCGUCUCUGUUGUUGUAUAUGCAUGUAUGUGUAGAGUGUGCCUUUUGUUUUCAAUUCGUAAGUGUGCUGGUAGCGAUUGCUGAACUGUGUGGGGUCUGGUAUUUUGUUUUGUGCAGCCGAAGCAAAUUCAUGAGAUCAAGGACUUCCUUCUCACUGCUAGGAGGAAGGAUGCACGCUCCGUGAAGAUCAAGAGGAGCAAAGAUGUGGUCAAGUUCAAGGUCCGUUGCUCCAAGUAUCUGUACACCCUGUGUGUGUUUGACACUGAGAAGGCUGAUAAGUUGAAGCAAUCACUUCCUCCUGGUUAGUUUUUCAGAACGGUUUUUGUUGAUAUGUUUUGGCUUCUUUUGUUUGUUAUGCUCCUAUUGUAUGUUGUAUGAUAAUAAUUCAAUAUGCAAAUUUUAGGUAGGUGAUUUGCAUUGCAUGAUUGGUAUGAUUGUUUUCUGCUUUUGGCCAUAAAUUAGAAAUAUCAAUGUAUUAGAUACUAUGAUGGUCAAGAAAAAUACAAUACAUCUUGUUUCUUUCUUUCUUAAGUUUUUGGUUUGGAUGAUGUAUGAUGUACUGUGAUGAAGAAGAUAUAUUUUUGGGGAUUUUCAUGUUUGGAAACAAUACAGGUUUCCACAUUCAGUCAGAAUUGGCUUUGAAAUAUAAUGAUGAAUGACAAACUACUGUGUUGCUUAUAUGCUGAGGAAUUAAUUUUUGAUUGAUUAAAGCAUAUCCAAACAUGCUCAUCAUGUCUUGUCUUCUUACAUAUAUGUAAUUCAACCUUUGCAGGUCUAACUGUGCAGGACCUGUGAUUCUGGACUUGUAGUGGAUGAUGAUCAUGUUUUGUUUGGACUUUUGAGAUGGGAUUUUGUGUUUAGUAAAAUGGCUUAGAGAUUGUUGUUCUUCUGGUUGCUUAUGACUAGUUUUAUGUUUUGUGAGGGGUCCAAUUUGCAUCUGGAUAAUGCCUGCUAGUUUAUUGAACUCCAUGAAUUUUACAGUAGAACAUUUUCAGCUGUUUCUUCAUUCUGGUUUUGAGAUGAACAGAACCAUUUUUAUAUCUUGAGCACUUAUCACGAAGAGAAUCACAAAUUUAACUACGAAACUUUGAAGCUUUUAACUCUAAAGCUAAUUUUUCCAAUAAUGUUUUGAUCUUUUAGUUUUAUAUAAAAAAAAAUUCUUCAUAUUUGAAUAUCAUUUUCAUAUUGAUUAAGAACAAUUGAUUUGAGAUUAAUGAUACAUCAUGACAUACAUUAAAUCUAAAAAAUUAACAAAUUUACUAGACUUGAUACUUCAUGCAUCCUUUUUCAUGAUUGAUUGUCUUCAUCAAAAUGCAUCUUUCGUGGACCAGAAAUACUUCUUUCACCUCCUAUGAAAUUUCUACUACAUGUCAUAUUCAAGGGAAUGGGUGGAUCUGAGAAAGCCCCAGAAGAUAUUAGACCAAAGACAACUUUGUUAGCUGCCUCGGUGUAGUGGUACCCAUCCCAUAUCACUCUAGUGGAUGGUUUUUCACAAGAGCCCACAGUAAUUAUAUUACCAUCUAUGGUUACGGUUCCCCCGCAUGUAAUUCCAUCUCUAAAAUUGUAUUUUCCUCCAUAGCCACAAGUAACUAGUGGGUGCUCAAAUCCUGCAUAUAAGAUUGAAACUAGUAACAUUCCAUUUAGGUAAACUUGAUAAUAUGAACGUGAGAGUUGAGGUCAUUUUUCUUUGACUUACCGUAUUUCUUUGGGUUGCAAAAAAGAGAGUACUUAGGUGUGUAGACAUAGACAUAUACAAUUGUAGCUAGAGGAAGCUCCUCACGAAGUUUUGUUAAGGCUUCUUUCAAAUUCUUAUUGAAAUAUUGUGCUAUUUCAUUAUGUUGCUUUGCACAACCAUAACUAUCUCUUUCAGCAGAUGAAAAUUGAGUCAAUAUGCCAGAGAGACAUCCAGUUCGUCCUGUGUUGUGUAUCCAAAACGAUCUAGCCCCCAAAUUAUAUAUGCUCUUGAUCACCAAAUUUCAUUAAUUUAAAAUACGAAAUUAAGAAAUCAGCUAGUGAGAAUAUUUUUACUAAAAAUUAAAAUAGAUUUGAGAAAGAAUGGCAUCAAUUGUAUUAGUCCUUAAAUAUUAAAAGUUAUUUUGGAAAUUUAUGAAUAUGAACUUUUCAUUUUUUUUUUGAAACUGAACUUUUCUUUUUUCUUUUUUUUGGUUACUUUUUUUUUUUGUUACAACUUUUCAUUUUUCAAAUUUAAAAGACUAAAUAUCAUUCCUUUAAUAUUAUUAUGAAAGGACUAAUUUGAUUAUUGAUUCAUAAAUAUAUCAAAAGAGUGUUUGCUACAUUAAUUUUCGUUAUGAAAUUGUCGACUAGAUCAGGCACUGAAGCAUUGACUUGUUGUAUAGUUGUGUCACCAGAAAAGCUAAGAUCAUUUUGACCAAUGUCAAAUGUGUAUAAAGCUCUAGAAAAAUACUCUUCUUUGGGCAUCAACGUUGCAAAUGUUCCACCUUGAAGAAAAACAUUCAAAACCUUAUCGUUAAUUAAACUCUAAAUCACCAAAAGAUAUCAACGAAAAUAAUUUCUUAACCGACCUUGAUAUUUUAUGGAUUGUGUUUUUGAUUUAAACUCUCUGAAUUGAACGUACUGAACUUCUAGGUAGAAAGGACUUAAGUUUCCUUGAGGUAUAAUACUCUUUGGCAUUUUAAUUGUUGAUCCGUAUGUGGCAAAGUUUGCACCAUGAGAGAAGUUUGACCCUAAAGAGUCAAGAUAGGGACUGAGAUAUGGAAGUCCAAAAUUCUGUGCUGAAAUUAUAAGAUAUGAAUCAAAGUUAGACUUAAAAUCCUUCUUCACUUGACAAUAAUCUAGUUGAUGAUUAAACUUUGUACAUGUGAGUAAGUGAUUCGGGCAUACAUUCAAUUUUAUUCGAAUCACUCUGUGCUGAAAUUACAAAGUUAUGAAUCAUGGUUAGAUUUAAAAACCUUCACUUGACAAUAAUCUAGAUGGUGAUUAAAUUUUUACAAGUAAAAAAUUAUUUGAGCAUUAGUUUAAUUUUAUUCGAACCACACAAAAGGAUAUUGCGAUGCCCAAAUUCUAACUCAUCUAUCGUCAAUGUAUUUAGAUGAUGAGUUAUUUAACCCAAAUUUUUUCAUGGAUCAUUUAGACAAUAUGACUAUGAAGUCUAAACAUAUUGCAAGAGAAGCCGCACAAAGAAGCCGCAUGAAAUUGACUCUAAAGUCGGUAAGGAAAUAGCUAAAUUUGUUACCUAUGAAAUCAAGGAUGAUUCGGCCAUCAGAGGCUCUUCCGGUGGGUCUGUGAAAAUAAGUCUCUCCAUAUGGUGAUCUUGCUCCUCCAAAGGCAGCAGCCAAGCCGCCAGUAUCCGAGUUUGAGGCACCAAAAUUAAAGAGGCAGGAAAGACNNNNNNNNNNNNNNNNNNNNNNNNNNNNNNNNNNNNNNNNNNNNNNNNNNNNNNNNNNNNNNNNNNNNNNNNNNNNNNNNNNNNNNNNNNNNNNNNNNNNNNNNNNNNNNNNNNNNNNNNNNNNNNNNNNNNNNNNNNNNNNNNNNNNNNNNNNNNNNNNNNNNNNNNNNNNNNNNNNNNNNNNNNNNNNNNNNNNNNNNNNNNNNNNNNNNNNNNNNNNNNNNNNNNNNNNNNNNNNNNNNNNNNNNNNNNNNNNNNNNNNNNNNNNNNNNNNNNNNNNNNNNNNNNNNNNNNNNNNNNNNNNNNNNNNNNNNNNNNNNNNNNNNNNNNNNNNNNNNNNNNNNNNNNNNNNNNNNNNNNNNNNNNNNNNNNNNNNNNNNNNNNNNNNNNNNNNNNNNNNNNNNNNNNNNNNNNNNNNNNNNNNNNNNNNNNNNNNNNNNNNNNNNNNNNNNNNNNNNNNNNNNNNNNNNNNNNNNNNNNNNNNNNNNNNNNNNNNNNNNNNNNNNNNNNNNNNNNNNNNNNNNNNNNNNNNNNNNNNNNNNNNNNNNNNNNNNNNNNNNNNNNNNNNNNNNNNNNNNNNNNNNNNNNNNNNNNNNNNNNNNNNNNNNNNNNNNNNNNNNNNNNNNNNNNNNNNNNNNNNNNNNNNNNNNNNNNNNNNNNNNNNNNNNNNNNNNNNNNNNNNNNNNNNNNNNNNNNNNNNNNNNNNNNNNNNNNNNNNNNNNNNNNNNNNNNNNNNNNNNNNNNNNNNNNNNNNNNNNNNNNNNNNNNNNNNNNNNNNNNNNNNNNNNNNNNNNNNNNNNNNNNNNNNNNNNNNNNNNNNNNNNNNNNNNNNNNNNNNNNNNNNNNNNNNNNNNNNNNNNNNNNNNNNNNNNNNNNNNNNNNNNNNNNNNNNNNNNNNNNNNNNNNNNNNNNNNNNNNNNNNNNNNNNNNNNNNNNNNNNNNNNNNNNNNNNNNNNNNNNNNNNNNNNNNNNNNNNNNNNNNNNNNNNNNNNNNNNNNNNUUAAAUUAAUUCUAGACCACCCCGGCUAAUUUAGUUAAUAGCUUAGUGCUCCUCCUUUUUUAUAAAAUUAAAAAUAUACCCACAAUCCUCUUUCACGUUCUUCCUUUAGUUUCAAAAGAAAAAAAAAUGCUCUUCCCUUCGCCGGCGGCAACCGCAACCUAGAUCGACGUGGUGCGGUGGUGGACGCUUCUCCAACCAGCAUGCCAAAGCUGUUUGCCUCUUCUUCUUACGUCCUUCUUGAAUUGGUUUGUUUUUCUUCAAUUCAGUUGUUUACACAGUUUACAAGUUCAAUUUUUCUAUACUGUUUUUAUUUCAGUGGUUGAUUGUUUCCAUGGAAUUUUAAGACUUUAAUCUGAGUCUAGUUUCUUUUCUACAAUUGUGGUGUUGCAUUUCUACAUUUGUACAAUCUGAUUUUUAUGAUGCCCUUAAGUUGUUCGAUGAAAUGCUUCAUUGAAGUGUCUUUGUUCAAUUACUUUGUAGUAAGAUUGGUGUCAAUCCUGGCUCUGAGUUUCGAGUGGCAUGUGAUGAAGCAAACAAGUAUGGUGAUUUUUUUACCUGCGUUUUUAUGUUUCUGUUUUGAGUACCAUGUUUUGUUAUUCUUUUGUGCUUUUUUUUUACUCUAGGUACUGUUCUGUUACUUUUUGUUUGUACUAUCUACUCACUUGUAAGAGUUUGUUUCUAAUAUCCUAGUUGCUAAUUUCUUGUUUUCCUUGGCUGGGUUUUGAGCAUAUUCAGCAGGUGGAAUCGCACAUGACCUCUCUUGUUAUGAUGCAAAGGAGCUGUUUUUCGAGCAGAGUUGUUUUUCGCCUCAUCUGGUUCCCUGUUUUGCUGUUUAUUUUUUUUGCAACCUUAGGAGCUGCUGCAGAACACGUUUUCUAUGUGGCAGAAGAGCACACAUCAAGAAAUCACAAUGCCUUAGAACAUACCUUGUAGCCACUUUAUCAGAUUUUCUAUGUGACACAGUAUAAUGAGUACAUAAACUAUUUUUCAAAGUCUGUAAUAAGCGGUAGCCCUUAACCGAUGAUUAUGAAAUCCCAAAUUUGCACGGGUAUUUGAAAUUCAUUAUACGAAUUUAUAACUUGAAAGGGGGAUAUGAGGGAAGUUAAAAUUUGGUUGGGGAGACAGAUUUGAGGAUGCGUACAGUGGCGCAAAAAUGGUACAUAGGGAAGGAAAAAUUGGGGAUUUUUCAUAAUAAAAAAUUGAGGAUUUUCUGAAGCAGGGUAAUUUUUAGGUAUUUGUUUGAAAUUCAUAAUGAGGAUUUGAGAAUGAGAAUCUAAGUGAAUCAAUUGAAAUCUGUAACGCACUUGAUUUGGGGUGAAUGAAAAAGGAUACAUGGUUGAGAUUCAUGGAAACACUGAGAUACAUAUGAUAAAGGAUUUGAUGUCUCUUUUAAAACGGAAACUUAAUAUACAUGUUACAUUUUUUUUUAAAAUAGUUACAUGGUUGAGAUACUUACAUGUAGAAGCAAGGCAAGAUCCACGGAAAUUUACUAUCAAAAAGAAGAUCCACGGAAAUUUGUGUUGACUUGGAUGUUAAAUUUAAGCAUUAAGGUAGUGUUUGGUCCAAUUUAUUUUUGACUUUUAAGCUCUUAAAAUAUAAGCUACUUAUUUUUUUUUACAAAGAAAAUAUAAAAAAAGUGACUUUUAAGUAAAAAGUUAAACGAGGGAGUUUUUUUUUUAAAUAAACUGUAGAGACAUCACAUUUAUCCUCCACUACCACUACCACUUCUACCAUCAUGUCAACCACAAUCGUCCACUACCACCAUCGUUACCUCCGACACGACCACUACCACCUUCAUGGCCACCACCAUCACAUCCACUGCUACAGUCACCCUCCAUCACUUCUACCAUCACUUCCACCACAUUGUUGCCACUUGCACGACCACCGUCACCACCACCGCCACCACUCCAGUGCCACCACCACCAUCACCUCUACUGCUACCGCCACCCUCCACCACCACAUUGUUGCCAAUUGCACGACCAUUGUAGCAAUCUUUUGUUCCAAUAGAAGCAGAAGUGAUGUCGAUUAUUCAAGAAUCGAAGUCGAUUUGCUUUAUAAAAAGAGGAUAUCAAUGAACUUUUAUGAAAUGGUUUCACGGGAUUCAGCCAAUUUACAUUAUACGCAACAGAAGCACCUGAAGUACUAAACAGAAUAGGUAUUAGUUUGGUAAUGGUUGGAGCAGCAAACUCGGAUUCGGAUCCGCUAAGACUAACGUAUCUACAACUCCAUCCCCGAGCGGCAGUCAAACGGAGGCGUGAAUGCAAGAUGCCAGCAGAAUGAUCGGCCGGACAGAGGCUAGGGCUGCUUCCUUCCCACUGCGUCCUUCCUUGUGUGUUGAAGAUAUAAAGCGAGGAUAGAGUCGAUUACAAAAAGUACUUGGCCACCACUCCAUUGCCACCACCACCAUCACCUUUACUGUUACCGCCACCCUCCACCACCACAAUCGUCCACCACCACAUUGUUGCCACCUGCACGACCACCGCCACCACUCCAUUGCCAUCACCACCGUCAUUGCCUCCACCACCGUCACCUCUACUGCUACCGCCACCCUCCAACACCACCACCACCACCUUCUCUACCAUCACCUCCAUCAUAACCGUUCACCACAACCAUGGUCGCUUCCACAACUACAUCACCACAACCUCAAUUGCCACGACCACCAUCACCUCUAUAAAUUUAUUUAAAUAUGAAUGACACUACUUUAAUUACUUUGGUUAAGGAAUAUUUAUUGGUUUAAAUAACCCUUAGUAUCCAAACAAAGUCUUUCCAAUAUGUCGUGGUGGUAAGUUGUGUUGGCGGUGAUGACGUUGUUGGUUGAGGGUUGUGGAGCCGAUUUUCGGGGUGGAGGGUGGUGGUGGAGGGUAUUGUGGUGAUGACAGUGUUGUAGGAGGUUGUUGUUGCGGUAUUGGUCGUGUUGUAAGGGGAUGGUGGUGGUGGUGGCAGUUGUGGUCGUAUAGUGGUUGUAGAGGGUGGUGGCAGUGUAAGAGUGCGAUAGUGGAGGUGUCGAGGCGGCGUUAGUGGUGAUAGAUUAUAUGGUCAUGCAUAAAACAACAUAUCAAACGAAACCUAAUGUGUUGUCAUUGCUUCCAUUACCACUAUCAGCGUCACUACCUCCCCUACCUUCACCAUUGCCACCACCAUCACCAACAUUGUUACAGUCGUAGUAGUCGCCUUUACCACCUUCACCAACGUAGUCGCCACCUUUACUGUCGCCAGAGCUGUGUAUAGACUUUUUGGGGCUUAAGGUGAAAAUGUUAAAGUGAUUUUCAAUCGACAAUAAUCUUAAAGAAACUUAAUAUAUUAAUCUUCUAUUUAUAGGUACUAAUUGUUUUUUGUUAUGGGGAUCUAAGGCACAUGCCUAAGUGGCCCUUACGGUAUCGACGACUCUGACAGUCGCUAGCGUUGUCAACCACCACUGAUGCCGAUAGUGAUGGAGGUCGUUUCGGGCGUGACUUAGCGGUAGAUGGCAGAGGUGGUGGUGGAAAUUGCAGUGGUGGUGGUGAUGGAAAUCGCACGUUGGUAGAGAAUAAAACAUUAAAGUAAGGUGGUCUAGAACAAACCUUUCACUCGAAACACCCAUCAAAACUAGUUAACCUAUACACAUAAUGACCUGUGGCAGAGCAAGGAGUUUUUUUUUCAGAGGUUGCAAUAAAAUUUCAAUACAUAAAUUAAAUACUUUUUAAUCAAUAAUACACACAUAUGUUCAUAAGAAAAAUCAAAGAUUCAAUUGAUUCAUAUAAUAUGAAUAUUAGAAAUUUAUUAUGAGUUAAGUUAAUAUUUUAAAAAUUUGCUUCUCAAUUUUUUAUUCUCUCCACACAUAUAUACAUACAUAUAUAUAUAUAUACCUUUUUUUUGAAAUAAUAUAUAUAUAUACCUUUUAAUAAAAUAUGUCUUUGUUUUAAUGUAAAACUGUUUAAAAAUAUGUAGAUGAUGAGAUCUCAAAUAAAUAAAACAAAUAUUUAAAGAGGGAUAAAAAUUUGGAAAUUAUACACAUUUGCCCAGCAUGCUAGGUGAAAGAAUAAUAAUGUCAAACUAUUUCUUAAAAUUGCACUGGGUAUGCUUCGAACCCUAUACACGGGAGGCCUUAUAAAAAGGCUCUAUCACCACUAGGACUCCACAAGUUAUAGUCUUUGUUUGCACCGUUUAAAUAUAUUGCUUAUGUUCUAUAUACAAAAGAUUUAUAUUAUAUACAUCAUAUAAAAUAUUUUUUGGUUAAACAUAGCAUUUAAAUUUAUAAAGAUUGUGAAGUUUACCAUUUUACCAAUUUUAAUAAGAUCAUCAAAGUUGCUGCUGAGCAUAAGAAACGGUGGGAAAAGAGUCAAAGACAUAGCACAACAAUGCCAUCCACUUGUUAUAAUUAAUAUAACAUCAACAUAAAAUGAGAAAAUCAAUAUUUUAAAUGUUAGUAUGUGUCAUUUUGGACAUAAUAAAAUGCUACAUUAUUUUUCUAAUUAUUCAGACAUUGCCAUUUAUCUAGGUGUAGAAGUUUUAAAAUUUGGCAAAAUAAUUUGUAAAAUACAGCUACAAUCAAGAGUUCAGCAUUAAGCAUCAAUAUAGCUAGCAGAAAUGCAGAAUCCAGGGUAAAUGUUUGUAUUUGGCAACAUACCCCGUGGAACAGAUCAAACAGAUUACACAAAAGAAUCAGUUAAAAGUAUAGAGUAUCAACUACAUGUUUUUCGGUUGGCUGUGAAUUAUAGACCUUUUCUAUAAAAGUAGUAAUGCUUACCUAAAAAGGCCCAACCGCCCAACUAAAACAAGGGGCUUCAUAGUGUCAUAGAUCCCAAAGUACAUCCCUCGAUACAUGGUGUGAUUCCUAAUAUUGAAACCCCAAAUCCCCUGUACAAGCCAGCAAUUCCGUCAAUUGAUAAGGUUUUACGGUAAACAUCAACUACUCCUUUAAACUGGCGCUGAUCAGUAGCACGGCACUCCUGUGAAUCAGUAGCCAAUCGCGUACGUGCAUAGUCUAAAUGAUACAAAAGCAGUGAAGUAGUCGCUCCUGCAGCACUGCCUGAAGCCACAUUCCCAGCAAACCAUUUAAUUUGCCCGUCUUUCUUUUUGGACUAUCCAAAGAUGCUUUUGAAGUAACCUUUGAAUGCAAAAUUGAAAGCCUAUAGACCAAUUAACUCUUUGCUCAAACACUAUUUCUAAUACAUAAAAGAAAAUCAUUAUUUGAGAGCCAUGAUCACAUGAGUUGAUGGGAAUAGAAAGCAGUCAAAUUAAUGGUUUCUCUUCUAUAUGUAUGGGCCCCUAUUUUAUAUAAGCGCAGAUGCCCAACUAAUGAUAUUUCACAUGUGAUGACAGGAAAAACACAAAGCAUGUUCAGGGGGAAUAAUGUACAAAACUACAAAUUGGACAUGAUCACAUAUCAAAGAAUGUGAUUAUUUGUCAGGUACAUAUUAUAUCAUGCCAUAAAAUAACUAUGUAUAAGAAAAUGCGAUUAGUCUAGGCUCUGAGAUAAUAUACUUUUCAAUUUAAUAGUGAAUUAGGCAGACAAAAGGCUAGGAUGGAAGAGAAGUUAUCAAAUAUUCGUCUUACUUUAAUAUCUAAAAUCCAUGGAUGACAACAAAUAUAAAACCCAUGAACACAAGAAUUUACGGCUAUUAUGUGAUGUGAAUUUUUAUUUUUUAGUGAGCUGCACAAGAAAUAAUUACCUGAUACAUUUAAUGGUAUAUAACUACAUAUCAGCAUCCCACAUAACAUGUCAUGUUCAUUCUUUUGAUUUCUUUUCUUUUCUUCAAAGAUAAUGUGUAUGAUAUCUUGAAAGAAAGAGGAGAUUAAAAUGGUGUAUGUGGGGAUACAGUUCUUGAACAUUAAUCAGAAUGUCAGUAAAGUGAAUAACUCACCUGUGUGGGGAAAUACCUUAUAUCAUUGGCCCGGUUACCUCUCCAAAAAAGCAAUCAGACCCUCUUCCAGGAAAACCCUUUUAAAGCCAUUUGACACACCCAGGUAUGGUUUUUUGAGUCGUCCUCUUUUAAUCAAUUCAUUUUGGUUUUGCAAUAAAAGCUUGGCUCUCUCAAUUGGUGCCACUGCACUCUUUGAUAUGAUUGCUGCAACUCCUCCCAUGACAAAAUCCUUUGAAAAUCUUUCAUAUUGCGUAGAUGUUACCAUCUUUUUUGGACUCUUGUCUCUAAUCCUGGCAGAAGUAAUAGAAACUUGAUCAGCAAAAAAAAAGGGCAUGAAUACCUAUGAGAUGAAAUUACAAAUAGAUAAAAGUGACACUGGCGUUAAGCGAAAAAAGCAGGUCAACCUCUCAGACUCCUUUCAAACGAGAAAAAAGUGCAGGAAAGAAAAGAAAAACAGUGAAACUUGAAGAUCUCUAAGAAUGUGGUAGCAGAUUCAGUUCGGUUCAUAGCAAACAAAUUGCUAAAAAGGAGUGGCCACCUCAAGCAAACAUAAUGAUGUUGAAGUGAAAUUCCGAUGCAGCAGACACAACAACACAUACAACAGCAGUACCAUAAUCAAUCCAAAUCAGUAAUUCAAAAGGUAAAAGAAAAAUUGAAAGAUGGAUAGUGAACCCCUUCAUAGGUGAGAGGAAAACCAAGAGAAUUUGACAGCUUUGUGAAGAACCAUGACAUGGGAACAACCUUCCAAGGCCAGCCAACAAAUGAAACACUUCAAUGGCAUCUUGACAAUCUUCGAUGUCACAGAGGACACCAACUAGUUCAGCAUGAAAAAAGCAUGAUAUGUAAUCAUUCAAAACUCAGAGCCAGGAUUGACACCAAUCUUACUACAAAGUAAUUGAACAAAGACACUUCAAUGAAGCAUUUCAUCGAACAACUUAAGGGCAUCAUAAAAAUCAGAUUGUACAAAUGUAGAAAUGCAACACCACAAUUGUAGAAAAGAAACUAGACUCAGAUUAAAGUCUUAAAAUUCCAUGGAAACAAUCAACCACUGAAAUAAAAACAGUAUAGAAAAAUUGAACUUGUAAACUGUGUAAACAACUGAAUUGAAGAAAAACAAACCAAUUCAAGAAGGACGUAAGAAGAAGAGGCAAACAGCUUUGGCAUGCUGGUUGGAGAAGCGUCCACCACCGCACCACGUCGAUCUAGGUUGCGGUUGCCGCCGGCGAAGGGAAGAGCAUUUUUUUUUUCUUUUGAAACUAAAGGAAGAACGUGAAAGAGGAUUGUGGGUAUAUUUUUUAAUUUUAUAAAAAAGGAGGAGCACUAAGCUAUUAACUAAAUUAGCAGGGGUUGUUCUAGAAUUAAAUUAAAUAAUAAAAUAUAUAUUACGAAAAUAAAAUAUUAAAAGUGAUGUGGAUAAUAACGUGACACAUGUCACAAUAUAACUGGUACAACAAGGCCAUGGGUGAUAUAACCCAAAAUUGAGCAUGAGUUAUUUAGACAACCCAUUUGAAUAUCAUUUGCAUAUUGAUUGAGAACAAUUGAUUUGAGAUUAAUUAAUGAUACAUCAUGACAUACAUGAAAUCUAAAAAAUAUAACAAAUAUACUAAUAUAACAAAUUUACUAGACUUGAGACUUAAAGCAUCCUUCUUCAUGCUAUUGAUUGUCUUCAUCAAAAUCCUUUUUUCUUGGGCUAGAAAUACUUCUUCUUGCACCUCCUAUGAAAUUUCUACUACAUGACAUAUUCAAGGGAAUGGGUGGAUCUGAAAAAGCUCCCGUAGAUAUUAGAUCAAAUACAACUUUGUUAGCUGCCUCAGUGUAGUGGUACCCAUCCCAUAUCACUCUAGUGGAUGGUUUUUCACAAGAGCCCACAAAAAUUUUAUCACCAUCUACGGUUAUAGUUCCCCCGCAUACAACUCCAUCUAUAUAAUUGUAUUUUCCUCCAUAGCCACAACAAGUAACUAGUGGGUGCUCAAAUCCUGCACAUUAAUGAAUCUUUAAAUUAGUAACAUUCCUUUUAGGUAAGCUUGAUUAUUUCAAUGAGAAUUGAGGUCAAUUUGCUUUGGCUCACCAUAUUUCUUUGGAUUGCAAAAUAGAGAGUACUUAGCUGAGUAGAUAUCUACAUAUGCCAUUGAAACCAAAAGGUCCUCAUGAAGUUUAGCUAAUGCUUCCUUCAAUUCUUUGUUGAAAUAUUGUGCUACUUCAUUAUAUUGCUUUGCACAACCAGAACUAUCUCUUUCGGCAGAUGGAAAUUUAGUCAAUAUGCCAGGGAGGCACCCGAUUGGUCCUGUGUUGUGUAUCCAAAACGAUCUAGCCCCCAAAUCAUAUAUGUUCUUGAUCACCAAGUUUCAUUCAUUUAAAACAAGAAAUUAAGAAAUUGAGAACUAAUAUGAAAGUGGCGUUCCAUGAAAGAACUAAUUUGAUUAUUGACUCACGACUAUAUCAAAAGAGUGUUUAGCUACCUUAAUAUUCGCUACGAAAUUGUCGACCAUAUCAUGUAUAGAAUCACUGACUUGUUGUAUAGUCGUGUUACCAGAAAAGGCAUCAAUAAGAUCAUUUUGACCAAUAUCAAAUGUGUAUAAAGCUCUAGAAAAAUACUCUUCUUUGGGCAUCAACGUUGAAAACAUGCCACCUAACCGACAAACAUUUGAAGAAAAACAUGCAAAACACAUUGUUGUUAAUUGAACUCAAAAUAACCAAAUUAUAUCAAUGAAAAUAAUUUCUAGACUGACCUUGAUCUUUUAUGAAUUGUGAUCUUGCUUUAAACUCUUUGAAUUGAAGGUACUGAACUCCUAAGAAGAAAGGACUACCUCGAGGUUUAACACUCUUAGGGAGUAUAAUUGUUGAUCCUAAUGUUGCAAAGUUUGCACCAUGAGAGAAGUUUGAUCCCAGAGAGUCAAGAUACGCACUAAGAUAUGUAAGUCCAAAACUUUGUGCUGAAAUUACAAAGAUGUGAAUGAAAAUUAAACUUAAAACCUUUCACUUUACAAUGAUGAAUGAUCUAAAUGAUUAUUAAAUUUCGACAUGUUAGUAAGUGAUUGAAGGAUAAUUUUAUUUUUUCCCGAACCACUGUUGAAAUUGCAAAGUAAUGAAUCAAAGUUAGACUUAAUAUUUAAAGGUGUUAUUUAUAUAUAAAGAUUCAAGUAAAAAGUGUGUGACCGAGAUAUGCUUGGCUCAGUUAUUAAAGACAAAUCACUUCACCUCAAAAAAAUUGUGUGUUUGAUUGUGUGUUUAAUGAACAAUCUGCAAGUGACAUAUAAUCCUGGAGGCAUAUCAUGAACUAUAGUAGUCACUAUAACCAAACCGACCAAAACGUUUGCUCUUCAUUGAAAAGAGUAAAAUAUGUGUGUAAUUCCUAAUAGUUUUGUAAUAAAUACUAUUUUUCCAUAUAUGCAUCUAGAAUCAUGCUUUUUAUACUUAAGGUAAGUAAAACAUUCCCACAAGAAAUAGAACUACGUUACCUAUGAAAUCAAUGAUGAUUCGGCCAUCAGAGUACCUUCCAGCGGGUCUGUGAAAAUAAGUGUCUCCAUGUGGUGGUUUUGGUCCUUCAAAGGCAGCAGCGUAGCCUCCAGUAUCUGAGUUUGAGGCACCAAAAUUGAAGAUGGCUGGAAAAUCACAACCGCCGCCAUAUACAGGGUUCAGUAGUGUAGUUGACGUAGCAGUGAAAACAAAAACAAAAAGAGAUAUUUGAGUGAUGAAAAACUCCAUUACAGAGAUGAGUUCAUUCAGCAAAACACAAAGGAACCAUAAAAUUGAUAUAUAUGCUUGACACAUAUAGAAGCUCACUUUUCUGAACUUGAAUUAUUGGACACUAAAUCAAUAAUAGAAUAACAAGAGUGACUUUAUAAAAAGUACAAGUAAUCCCCCACAAGGUAAGGCGUAUCAUUUAAUUUUGUAGAUCCUUUAAUAUAAUAUUUCACGUGUGUCAUGUGUAGAACAUUGUUAAUUGGUAAUUGGUAUAGUGCUCUUGAAAUAGUUAGGAUUUAUUUUUUGGACAGAGAAGAGUAGACUUUCAAACAGAAUUUUUGCGAGUUCUCCUUAAUUAUUGUGAAAUAUAAUGGAAUGUCCAAUUUAAUUUUUUUUAGAUAAGCAAUGAUUUUAUUACGCACAAGGGGUGCCACCAAAAAACAAGUCAAAACAGAUCAUUGAAUUUAAUUGAGUGAGGAGAUCAAGAUCUUUGCUGCGAUAAGAAAGAAAGGGCCGGAAAGCUACUUCGAAUAUUGAAUUAUUGAUGUGCGUUAACAUAGCAUAAAUUGUACUUUGUUUUUAUUAUGGUUUUAUCUAGGCCUAAUUGUUGUAUUUGCUAUACAAAAUUCACAUGUUUUUAAGUGUAUUCGCAAUAUGUAGGUAGAAAGAGGGGAAAAAGAGAAAAUAGUGAAAAGUUGCUCUUUUAGUGGAAUUUUACAUGCUAACGUAGAGGCAUGAUCGUGCUUGCCAAAUACUACAACCAUGCUCUUGAAAAUGAAGCUCCACAACCAUGCACUCCUCUUUUUGCCCAUGCUAAGUAUUAAAGUUAGCUUGCUAAGUUGCACAACAGAAGCCUCGUGAAAACCUAAUUAUUUCCUACUUAAAGAGAGGCUAGGGCAUUUGUAAGAUGGUGGAACUUUAGAGUAUUGUUUUGUAUGCAGGCUAGGAGGGAGGGAGGGAGGGAGAGAGAGAGAGAGAGAGAGACUUAAUGACGCAAGGCUAUGAAACUCCACCUACUAACAUUUUUGCCGGUAUGAGAGGAAGGGAAAGUACACUUCCCAAGGACAGGGUUGGUCAAACAGGUGCUAUUAGUGGCGUUAGGUUUUCAGGCGUCACUCUGACAAUAUUUAUUUGAUUCGACGUCAGUUGCAUGCUUACGCAUGGAUGCUCAUACCCAACCACUUCAGAGAGAGAGAGAGAGAGAGAGACUUAAUGGCGCAAGGCUAUGAGACUCCACCUACUAACAUUUUUGCCGGUCUGAGAGGAAGGGAAAAUACCCUCCCCAAGUAUAGGGUUGGUCAAACAGGCGUGCAUUAGUGGCGUUAGGUUUUCAGGCGUCACUCCGACACAUUUUUAUUUGAUUCCGACGUAAGUUUGCAUGGCUUACGGCAUGAGAUGCUCAUCCCCCAACUACUUCAGAAGAGAGAGACUUAAUGGCGCAAGGCUAUGAGACUCCAUCUACUAACAUUUUUGUCCGGUCUGAGAGGAAGUGAAAAUACACUUCCCAAGGAUAGGGUUGGUCAAAUAGGUGUCAUUAGUGGCGUUAGGUUUUCAGGCGUCACUCCGACAAUAUUUAUUUGAUUCGACGUAAGAUGCAUGCUUACGCAUGGAUGCUCAUCCCCAACCACUUCACAGAGAGAGACUUAAUGGCGCAAGCUAUGAGAUUCCACCUACUAACAUUUUUGCCGGUCUGAGAGGAAAGGAAAAUACACUUCCCAAGGACAAGGUUGAUCAAACAGGUGUCAUUAGUGGCGUUAGGUUUUCAGGCGUCACUCCGACAAUAUUUAUUUGAUUCGACGUAAGCUCCAUGCUUACGCAUGGAUGCUCAUCCUCAACCACUUCAGAGAGAGAAAGAGACUUAAUGGCGCAAGGCUAUGGGACUCCACCUACUAACAUUUUUCCCGGUCUGAGAGGAAAGGAAAAUACACUUCCCAGGGACAAGGUUGGUCAAACAGGUGCCAUUAGUGGCGUUAGGUUUUCAGGUGUCACUCCGACCAUAUUUAUUUGAUUCGACGUAAGCUGCAUGCUUACGCAUGGAUGCUCAUCCCCAACCACUUCAGAAAGAGAGAGAAAAAAAAAACGUGACUGGCUCGAAGGAAAAUAAGGGAGAGUAAACUUAGAAGAUUAUUUCAGGUUUAUGUAUGGUAUUAUUAGGUUCAUUAUGUUUUCUAUUAGAAUUAGUUAUUCCAUCACCUUGAAAUCUGUAAGAUAAUAAGAUAAUGUAAAUUUUCUCACUUGAAUCAACACAUCUUCUGCUAUCUCUUUUGAGUGAACGAUUGACUUGUCAGUAAGCUCAAGUGAAAUGUUAAUGGCUCUUAACCUAACUAUUCUUAAUCUCUAUAAAACCGAUCGAAUAAGGCAUUAAAUCCACACUUGACCCCAAAUCAAUGAAACACUUUCAGAGUAUAUAUUUCCCACAUUUCAAGGAUUGGUGAAUUGACUGAAUUCCCCUGAAUCUUUAAGCUUAGAUGGUAAUCUAGUUGAUCUUUAUUGGGUUCUCCAUUUUGAUUUUCUUCAAUAGCUUUAGUAUUAUGUUGUAUUCAGCAUUAUACUCAUUAUCAUGAAUAAGAAUACUUAUAGUAGCCAAUGCAGAUUGGCCUUUACCUUCUUCUUCAAGCUCUUGGGAACUCCCUUUAGUGCGAAUUCCUACGAUCAAUACAGAGGCAAAACUUGAUUGUGCUUCUUCAGCUUUAAGUGCAUCCUCUUUUGUAAGUCCAACAAGUGUGAUAGUCUUAGCUUCCUCCCUUGAGUUGGGCUCUGUUUGUGAAGGAAGUGUGUCUUGUGUCCUUGGAGUUGGGCUCUGUUUGCGAAGGAAGUGUGUCUUCUAUGUAGUGAUGCAUCCUUCCGGCAAGGAGGACAAUCAAGCCGACACCUUAUCCGUAAGGGAGAGAAUGGAAACAACCUCAAACGAAUAGUGUCAGUAGGAACAUGGUUGUACUUAAUGUACCUAUGAUUUUGAUCCCAAUAUAUCUUUAUUAAAUUUAAUCCCUCAAAAUUUUCAAUAAUUAUAAUUAAAUCCAUCGACUAGUUUUAUACCUAAAUAUCUCAAAUUCUCAUUUUUCUUUGCGAAUCUUUACUAAUAAGUAAGUUUAAAUCACUUUAAACAUUCAUUCGAUAAAAACACAUCAGUACAACAGUACUGAUAUAUCCAUAGAGUUAAUUCACUCUGAUUUUAAGUUAAUCAAAUUUAUUUAAGUGAAAAGUAUAGAGUGAAUUAGUAUUGAGCUUGGCGCGCGGUCAAAGGGAUUUUACCCCUGCGGAAGCUUCUUCAUGCGCGGGGUGUUGAUGUUGAGGAGGUGUGUCCACUUUGCCAUGAUGAGGAGGAGUCUAUCAACCACAUUUUGGUCUCAUGCCCGGUGGUGAGUCGUUGGUGGUUCGCUCUCAUGGGUUCUUUACGUGUUGAGGCGUAUGGCUCGGUGCAAGGUAUUUUGCAGUAUUGUUUUGAUAUUAAUGAUGUAGAUAUGGCUUCAAGGUGUGUGAAUUUUGUGUGGGCUAUAUGGGAAGCUCGCAACAGGUUGGUGUUUCAAGGCAUUACGUCUUCGUUGGACGUCUUGGCUUCUCGGUUGCAGAUGAUUCAUGCGCCCCCUAGCGUCUCCAUUUCUCCUCCAGGACGUGACUUUGCAGCAGUGUGGAAAAGGCCUCAACCGAACGUGACCAAGCUCAAUUUUGAUGGCUCUUGGAAGACUAAUCGUGCGGCGGACUUCGGUUGUGUAGCGCGGAACCACCACGGUGAGGUUAUGGCGGCAGCAACGGUCUCUCCGGUGGAUGCUUCAUCUCCAUUGAUGGCUGAAGUUCUUGCUUUUAGAUGGUGUCUCUCUCUUGCAGCUGAUCUUUUCUUCCAUGAUAUAGAGGUGGAAACAGAUUGUCUCAAACUCUAUGAAGCUUGGAACAAGCAUUUGCAGGGAGCUUCUUAUUUUAUUUCUAUUCUUAAAGAUUGUAAGGAUUUGGUUUUAUAUUUUUCUAGUUUUCGUUUGUCUUUUGUCGUCGAUCCGGUAACUCUGUAGCUGAUUACUUUGCUAAGAACUCCUCAAGGUAUCCCAACUGCGUUUGGAUUGAGAAGGUUCCCCCAGAUUGUUUCGGUUUGGUCGCGUCUGAUGUAACUACCUCUAUGACCUCUUGAUUUUAAUAUAUGUUCUACGUUAAAAAAAAAGUUAGCAAAAAUCAUAUAGUCUUAAUUAAUAAACAUUUUCUAUGUUUUGAUUCUAUUAUCUAUAGCAGGGCCCUUACAUAUUUGUUAUGAUCAAAUGAGAAAGUCGCAUUUAUUCCACACUAGUAUAUGAGGAGGUGAUUCAUUUUUUAUAGAUAACCGACACACCAUUACUCUUGUUUACCUAGGUCCUAACCAAAGCACAUGCAGUCGCAUGAUAAGUCCAAAAACACUAAUCAUUCUAUAGCUUAUAUAAAAUGAGUUGUAUUUAUCCUCCACUUUAUUCAGAGAAUGAGUUCACAUGAUAAAAAUAGAAUCAUAUUAUGUGCCCCCAAUUACAUUCUCUUUUUGUUCCUCUAAUCCUCUGAGUAUUAAAUCUGUCACGCACCCUUUGGAUCCUCAGUAAACUAUCUCACGGUCCAACUGACCCCAUAUUUCUGGUUCAUGAUAUUCUAAUAUCAAUGAAAUUUUCAUGUGAAUUUGUUACCAUUUUCAAAUUUUAUUUAUUUGUCACUUGUAUAAAGUAUUAAUUAAAUUUUAUUGAUAAUAACGGGAUAUAAUUCUUAAUGAUAAUAGGAAAAUUGAGUAGUCAAAAUCUAAAAAAAUAAAGAUAUAUCAAUAAGUCAAAUAGCAAUAUUAAUAAAAAUGUAAAAAAAAAUUAUUAAUACAAAUGAGAAUAUUAUCACCGUUAAUUUUUUAUUUCAUCUUAUUUAUUCUUUUUUUUUCUUAUCACAACAUCCAUCACAUAUUAUAUGAUUUCUCUAAAAUUUUUCCUUGUUUGAAUGAAGGGAAAACUCGGGGCCCCACAUAAAUUAAUCUCUUGUUCUUGGUUCGAACACUCAAAGAAGGGGUAGCCCCUAAAGAGUAGAGAUAUUGCACUAGAAAGAUAGAAGAUAACUGAAUUUCAUAUGUAUGAAUUGAUCAAAUGCGUCAAAAGUCUUUUACAAUUGGUAAGUGUCCUCUACUUAUAGGGUGGGAAGUGAGCUUCCCGCGCUACUGCCUCUAAUGGGCCUAUUGGGCCUCGCCUUGGCCAGCGAGACCCAACUACGGAUUGUGCGCCCGCCCCUUAGCGAGAGUCCCUCUGGGCGUAGCCCCUUACUCCCAGUCCAUCUCUCCUCUCCAUUAUCCUUGCGAACCAAACACGAAAGAUUCUAUAAUCCUUUCCUUUUCUCUUCCUUCCUUUAUCUUCCCCCAAAACAAACAUAAUGCAAGUCUCAGUGAAUUUUGGGUGAUUAAAGACAAAAAGACAUUAUUUCCCCUAAACAAACAUGGUACUAUAACCAAACAAUAGAUAGUGGGUCAUAUUCCAGAAAUUGAAUGAGUUGAAACGCAUGUGUGUAUAGAUGCAUUUGUCAGACACUGACAGCUCUUUGCGUAUCCAUCAUGCAUGAGAACCUCAAACCUGCCGUCAAUUACAACCUUCACCCAUUUUUCUGUGAUCCUUGCUUUUCUUCAGCUCUAUCCAACCUCACAGACAAUGACACCACCCCUUUAAUAUUCAUCCUAAUUUCUACUAUAUAUUAUUAUUCAAUAUUAUUAUUGUCUGCAAACCUAUAUAUUAUUAUUCAAUAUUCAUGACCCUUUUCUGAAAUUUGCAUAAAAAAUGUCCAUGAUUGUUGAUUUCUCCUAAAGUUAAGAUUUUGAUGUUGGAUUCUUCGCUGUGCCACUACCAAACCAGAUAAUCACAAAGGGUAUAGUUCUAUGAUUGGAAAAAAUCAAAAAAAUACAAACUAUUUUUUUUAUUUUGUUGUUUUUGUUAUGCAUUUAAAUUUUGCUAAUUUUGAUUAAUUCUUUCUAAAAAUUGAAUCUUUUUGUCAUUUUAGGAUUGCCCAUGAUUUAGAAUUGCUUGUUAAGAGAAAAAAUCAAAUUGGGUACGAACAAAAUUUCUUGUGUGGAAUUUUGGUGAGUGAUGCAGAGUGAAGAAGGUGGUUGUGGAAAUGGCGAAUCUGGUUCCUGGUGUGCUUCUGAAGCUGUUACAGCACAUGAAUACAGAUGUGAAGGUUGGAGGGGAGCAUAGAUCAUCACUGUUGCAAGUUGUGAGCAUUGUUCCUGCGCUUGCAGGUGGAGAAUUGUUUCCGAAUCAAGGGUUUUAUCUGAAGGUUUCAGAUUCGUCUCAUGCUACGUAUGUUUCUCUGCCUGAUGAAGAUGAUGAUCUUAUUUUGAGUGAUAAGAUUCAGCUGGGGCAGUUUGUGUUUGUGGAUCGCGUCGAGGCGGCUUCGCCGGUUCCGAUUUUGAGAGGGGUUAGGCCUGUUCCGGGGAGGCAUCCUUGUGUAGGAACACCUGAAGAUAUUGUUGCCACUCAUCCACUUGCAUUUCUGAAUAAUGGCGGUGGUUCUUCUGGGGAGAAGGCGAAGGAGAAGGAGAAGGAGAGGAGCGCGAGAUCAAAUGGGGUUGGUAGUGGUGGUGGUGGUGGUGGUGGUAUGGGAGAAGGAUCAGAGAAGAAGAGUGGUCUUCUUGGUAGGUUUAAAUCACAGGCUCAGCCAACAAAGCCAGCAGCACUGAAGAUUGAUGUGAAGAAGGAACCGUUGCCUCGGAUGAAGUCUAUGAAUUCAAGGUCGAUUCCUUCGUCGCCGAGUAGUUGCUACUCGUUGCCGACUUCUUUUGAGAAAUUUGCCAAUGGGGUGAAGCAGCAGCAGGCAAAGGUUAGUGGUAAGAGGGUGGAGAAGGUCACUGCAAAUGUGGGAGUGGUGGAGACAGGAAAAGGUGGUUCUUCUGGGAAGAAAAUGGUGGUGGGGAAUCCAAUCAGAAAUUGGAUGCAGGGUAUUGACCUUGGGGCUAAGGUUCUGCGGAAGAGCUGGGAAGGGAAUAUGGAGGUCAAGACUAGAGAGUCUCCCAGAGCUAGGGGUGCUGCCAAGGUUGAUCCUAAGCCUGAAGUUCGUAGCUCGGUGAGUGUGAUAUAAUUUCAUCUUCAUUCUUUUGGUUUUAGUGCAUGUUUGGAGAUCUUUUUUACAUUUGAUUUUAGAGCCAUAAUCAAUUAUAGGGACAAGCUUAUGUGAGUAAUUUCUGGAGACAUGAAGUGAUUUUGAUAAAAGAGAACCUGAUUCAAACAUGUUAUUAGUUGCAGCUCCUGAUGUCAAACACUAAGCCUUGUAGGAUAUAUUGCAUCUUUGUUUUGUUCUUUUUUUCUGUCCCUUUCAAAUUUCAUGUGGAAUAUGUGCUAUGUAGUAUAGUUGGUGUUUGUGAUACCUGGAUUUCAUUUCCUUUGACUUUUGAUUCAAUCAAGCCAUUAUCUUCCUUACGUUUUAUGAUCUACCAGACUCCUAGGAGAAGCUUCUCGAAUGGGAAGUUGCCAUCUAAAGAAGUCCAAGCACCAACAAAGUCUUCCAAGGACGAACAUAAGACUCAGAUGUCUAUAAAGAAGGCUACUGCUAAUGGAACUUUGGAGGAACAAGAAAAGUCAAGUAAACAAAGAACUUCCAUUGGAAAGAAAUCAGCAGAAGUUGCUAACCACGGACUCCCCGGAAACUUGGUCAAAGUUUCUCUCAAUAGUAGAAAAGUGACAGAUGCAAGUGUUCAAUGGGCUUCACUCCCCUCAUCUAUUUCAAAGAUUGGAAGGGUAUAUUCAUUGAAAAAUCCUUGGCUUUUUACACUUAAUUUCUUUGAUUCUUGGCUGUCAAUUGUCUAAGCAUUCAUGAAUACAAAUAUAAUAAGUAUGCUGCAAGUAUAAUAGUUUUGGAUAUAUGCAUGGAUUACACUUUGAUGAACAUUCUGUGUCCUUGUUCGAGUACAAGCCCUUCAACCAAUUGAUGCAUUGUUCAGAAAAUUAUAUAUGGCUUACUGAAUCUUUCUGUUCAAAUUAUAAAUUUUGUAACUGUAUUGUUUCAUUCUUAUUCCAUGGUCACCUUUGUGACAGGAAGUUAUGAGGCACAGAGAUGCGGCACAGAUAGCAGCAAAUGAGGCUAUGCAAGAGGCUGCCGCCGCUGAGAGUUUGCUGCAAUGUCUAAGGUAUGAAAAUAUUCAGGAGAUUAACUUCAUGCAACUAAGUAUAGAUUAUUCUUCUGGACUGCUCGAUUUGUUAGAUCAGGUCUUAGUUCUUAGUGUUACUCCACACUGCCGAGAUUAACUGUGUAUACAUGAAAACCUAGAUAUAUUGCUGAUAGUUGUACUUCUGAGUGAGUUCUCCAUCUACUGAAGCACAACACUUCUAGAGGAUAGGGAAAACAUUUCUAUACUCGGUUCAGUUAAGAUGUAAAUCAAUAAAUCAUUCUCAAUCAAAAAAAUAUUCUUGCUACUUUACUAUUAUCUAUCACUUUUACGAUAUUCUAUGUAAUCAUCAGAUGAUACAGAUAAGAAUGUAGAAACUGAGGCAUUUGCAGGAAUCCUGAACUUCAUUACUUAUUAGCAAUGUUAUAUACAGGUUUUCUUCACCAUUUUGUCCUAUUUGAAGCUAUUUUCCCUAUUUCAUUACCGGUCAUGUAUUUAUUAGUAAUAGUCUGUUUUAUCAUUCCUUGGGUAUCUCUUGUCAACAGUUGGAUAGAUUGUCAUUAUAAAUUCCUGCCCCUGUAUUUCUGAUGUUUUUUUUAUACUCAUACCUGAUGAAAGUUAUAUUUGCAUUUUCAUUUAUGUGCUUGGAACUGAUAUAGCAUCUUGCAAAUCCACUGGCCAUACUCAUUGUUCUUGAGUACAUGUAGUUCAUCCAAACUAAGUAGGCUUGGAACGGCACCUGCAUGACAAAUCCUGGAUCUUUGUACUUAUUUUGAUUAAAAUAUUUCCUCCAUUGUUCUUUGUGUUGAGAUUUAAGAAGUCGACUGAAGUCCUAGGGCUACGUUGACUAGAGAUAUGGCCAAAUAAGUCAUUGUAUAGAGCAAUCCUCACCCAUGAACUAGCUUUAGGGAUAGAGUUAAGCCUAACCUGAAUUAUAUGAUGGUGUCAUAGCUUAUCUUAGAUUCGUUUGUUGGAGACUACCCAUAAUUUCACAAUACUACUGAAAAUCAUUGUAGCUUAUGCCAUGGUAAGAUGCUGAUUGUACAGCAGAAUUUUGAAUUUCCGGUUUAACCGUCAAUGCAGUUAACCCAUUUCAAUAGACUAUUCUAUUAUGUGGAAAUGUUGUAAUUCAAUGCCACAUACCAAGUUGUACUUGUUGCUAACACUUUUUUGUGAUGUUUCUGGCAGUAAGUAUUCGGAGUUAACAAAUUCUGCGAAGGAAGAGAACCCCCAGCCAGCAGUAGAGCAGUUUUUAACUCUUCAUGCUAGCCUAAACAGUACCCUGAUGAUUGCUGAAUCAUUAUCUAAACCCAUUCCAGAUGGUUCAUCUCCAGAUUAUGAAAGGAGCAAAUUGGAAGAAGCACUGAAACUAAAAUCAGAAAGACAAAAACACGCAUCUUCAUGGGUCCAAGCAGCAUUGGCCACGAAUCUUUCAUCCUUCGCUGUUUUCACAAGAGAACCUCAAUCAUCCAAGCUUCCAGCUUCAAGUAAUUCUCAAAAUCAGAAGACUCUCAUGGGAAAUCAGCCCAUGUUAGUACUACACAAUUCUUCAAGUGAAGAUUCUUCAUCAAAAGUUCCUGGGAAAACUCGUCAACCACUUUAUUCCAAGCACGCCUCACAAGGAGCUACUCGCAAACCUGGUGAUGGGUCAGCAAACAGGCACAAGCAGCUAGUCCAACCACCGCUCCCGGAGUGGGUUAGGGGAAAUGGCCUCGAUGAGGUGGUUAAUUUGGCUGAAAUGUUGCAAUUACAGUCCCGAGACUGGUUCGUAGGAUUCGUUGAGAGGUUCUUGGACAUUGACGGGGACAAUACCUUGUCAGAUAAUGGCCAAAUUGCAGGUAUGCUCUCUCAGCUGAAGAGUGUAAAUGAUUGGUUAGAUGAGAUAGGGUCGAGCAGGGACGAGGAAGACGAGGGAGAAUCAUGCCAGAUUCCAGCAGAGACGAUUGACCGACUAAGGAAGAAGAUAUACGAAUAUCUUCUUACUCAUGUUGAGUCUGCUGCUGCUGCACUCAGUGGUGGACCACAAUCAUCAUCAACUCCGAUCCAAACAACACAGAUUAAAGGCAAAAGGUGAAUGAAUGAGUACAUAGCUUAGCUUAACAAUUGCAUAAGUAGGGUAGAGUGGGACUAACCUUGGUCACUCAAAGUUGUCCAAAAAUCAAGAUCCCCUCAAAAAGAUCAUUUUUUCCCUCUUUCUAAUCUGUUUGUACAUAAAUCCUACAUGGGGUUUGAGGUAUAGAUGGUGGAGUGCUAAUUAUUUAUUAGAGGGACAAUGGAGAUAGCAAAUGUGAUUUGUGAAGAUAUUUUCUUUCUUUGAUUUUUCUUGAUAUUGUUCAAAUGAAAUCAUACAAAUUAAAACAGUGGAAGAUAUCAGUAGAAACUUUUCCAAUCCUUGCCUUGAAUGUGGUUCUUUUAUGGCAUCAUUGUUCUUGUGAGUAUCAAUCGCAAACAGUAUCUAACUGGUGGGGUGCAUUAGGACAAUUGACAAAUGAACUACUUAAAUCUGAAUAGGAAUAGUUUCUACUGUGUUUCUCAAAUCAUGUGUGCAGUAUUUUAUAUGUAAAGUUGAGGAAAUAAAUCCUAAGCCAAAUCUUAAAUCAAUUCAACAUCUCAUCUUGCAUUUUUGUGGUUAUUUCACUUGAUAUCAAAGCUUAGACUCUUUUGAAAAGAAAAAAAAAAGCUUAGACUCUGGAUUAAGCACCUUGACGAGUACCAAAGAGUAUAUCCAUAAAAAUAUGGUUGAAGCUUAGCUCAAGAAACUCCAACAACAUCUAUCUAUCUUGUUGAAGGUCACUUAGUGAUACGUCCUUGAACCUUCAAUGAAGAAUUUUAAUAGACAAGAUGAUGCUCUUUAUUGAGUCCACACACGUUGAUAUAUGUUACAUCAUAUAGUCUACGAUUUGUGUGCAUAUUGAAUUAUUGAUGAUAGCAAUAAUCCUAAUAUGAUAUGAUAGAAAAAAUAAAUUGCGAUAAAAAAGAAGAAAAAAAAGUAUAGUGUGAAUAUAUUAAAACUCAUACCACUUGUAAGUGAAAUCAAAGAAAUUAAGAGGUAGGUGGUGCAAGAUGUUUGCCUCUUGCCAGAUACUCAAAGACAACAAUCACACAUCAUCAUUGUCACCCACCAUACAGAUGAUCUCCCUUUCACACUGACAACCUAACUUGGCCAACUCCACUUAAAAUAUCAACUGAUAUAAAAUCUGAAUCAAAAUUAUUACGUAGGCUCACAAAAAUUUAGCUUAUUCCUUAUAUAUAUAUAGUUGAAGUGGUAAGGGUUGUGAACAUAUAGAUCGAGAGAAAGGUUCAUGGAUCAAUCAUUGAAAAAGUAAUUUAUCUUUCUGAUGUACAAAAUAUAAAAAUUAUGCUCAUUAUAUCUUUCACUAAUAAGUUUGUUUCAAAAAAAUUGUGCGAUUUUGAUCUCACUAUUUUAAAACGAGCAGUUUGCAUCCUCAAAUUUGUAUCACCAUCAAUUUUAGACCAUCCAUAUAAUUUCUAACAGAAGCAAGUGACAUAGCGUUAACUAAAUAAGGUGGCAUGCAUAAUGUAUUUCCAAGUAAUUAUAUAAACGAAAAAUCCUGUUUUGAAAUAGUGGUUAAGUGGGGUUUACCGGACAAGUUGGGACGAGCUGUACUCGUCUUUCACUAACCCUAAAUAUUGAUCGAAUCCAAUUAUUAAACAUUUGAACUUAACCACUUAAACAA
rnacentral:lncRNA from 1 species